GGGAAGAUCCUGUCGCUGCUCGCUACUGCCGGGCACAGAACCAGAUCUGGUGCGAUGCGCCAUCUGCAAGAGUUAGCGUUCCAUUAAUUUCAUAAUCUUAGAAGUACUCCAACAAAUGGAACGUAUAAGUUAAAUUCUCCAAUGCAACUCUUGCUGAUAGUGCAACACACGUCCUCAUAGGGGAGAUACACGCUUCUCAUCCUCAUGUUAGUUAGCGUUUAUCUUAGCCUUGUACUCAACUUCGGGCGAAUCAUACCCUACCCAGACUCCUAUAAUCCAAACUUAAGUCCAGGGGUCAGGCUAGGCGAUCCUCCCGAGAAAAAGGGUCGGCAACGAUCCACAUUAAAAAGGGGUCGGGCGAGGCGGAGACUGCCUCCAAAGGUCGGCGCACCCGAUCUCGCGAACCGGGGUCGGCCAACUUGAACAGACUCACAGAAAACGACGCGCGGUCGCGGCUCAACUCACUUAGUCUAACAUUCCAACACUUCACAAGAGUUAGAGGCCAGACUCAGGAAUUGACUUUAUUUACAGCGGUGUUCCAACACAGGGAGUACUCGACUCAAGGCUAACCUAUUACAAUCCUUUCCAAAAUUUAGGCUGCCGAGGAGUACAACAAAGAAUGAGUCCCUUGUAACUCUUUAUCUACAAAUGGACACUAUGAGUAGGAGAAGGGGCGCCGUCUUCUUCGAUGUCCAUACUGGACGCUCCUUCAUCCUCCUCGGGGUCCUCUUGAGCUUCGAGCUGCAUAUGGAGGGCAUGCAUAUCGUCGAGCUCAGCUUGAUGCUCAUCCAAGUGAGCAUUUGCAACCGCCAGCUCCAUCUGUAUUUCCAUCUUCUCCUCUGACAGCUCGAUCAUGCCGUCCACUAGGUCGGCUACUUCUCCUUCGAGCUCGGAGAUCCUAUCUUGCAUGUCGUGUAUCUGAAUGCCUCGUUGGAUAAGCUGGUAGGUUUGGCCUACCAUGUCUCUCCUGGCUGACUGGAGGUGUCCUUGAGCAUCCACUGCGGUCCGAGCAAGGAUGGUCAUGGCUCUCCCUUGGAGCUCGAUCAGCCGAUAGAGGGCUGUCAUGCAUCUGACGUUGGUGGAGAUGGUGAACAUGGAGUACGUGGUGGCUAGCACCUCAAUAUUUCCGACGCGGUCGAGCCACGCCGGAUCCAACUGGUUCCUGGCGGGGAACAGGCCGAUAGGGUCUAGGGUGACCUCCAGGGGAUGCAGCUGACAAAACUGGGUAAGAAGCUGGAGAGCGGCGGUCUCCCAAGUGUCCUUCGGAGCAAGACCGUAGGCUGAUAUUCCUAAAGAGGGCCAGUCGGGCCGCACAGGAGGAGGAGGUACCACCGCCUGUACAUUGCACGUCUGGAUGCCCUGCUCCAGCUACAGUCGUCCUGCAUACAAUGGUGGGGACUGGUACCCGAACCAUUUCAAAGUGACCCACAAAAUCGCGGGGAAGCCCUCGAAAUGUAAACAGGUUGACUGGAAGGUACCAUCCGCUCCAAACAAAACGUGUCCGGGGACGGCCAUCUGGAACCAAGAAACCAAAACCACGUGAGAUAGACUCCAAGGGUCAGGGGUCGGAUAGAGAAGCAUUCGGCUUUAUCCGAGAGCAACUGGAAGAAACUAGAAAUCCUUAAAACCGAAAAAGAGCUUUUCCGAGCAAGGUUGCUUUUGAGAAGAGUGACUUUACAGAUGUUUGCUUAUGACGCAUGCACGGCCUACCUUACUCUUAACCAAAACAACUGCCCGAAACCUGGGUCAUACGCGGUCAGUGCCGGUGGCAAGGCAACAAGUACGUCUCUCCCUAUAAUAGCUAGUCGGUUCUAGCAACGUCUCCUAAAUGAACGCGGUUAGUGUACCUGCAGAAAACACCAACACACGAACCUUUCGUGCCAGCACCCACGAAAGCAUUCCCAAACAUUACCGCUCACUAUAGGAACGGCACCCAUGCGUUUAAGGCUGCAUGGACAGCACUCAACCGUGGAAAUAGGUUCCCUUUGAAUGGAACCGUAUGACCCUUCGCAUACUCGCGAUGCGGAAUCAGCACACGUGUGAUAUACGUGGCGAACAACCGUGCUGAUCGGUUCGUUGGAAUCGAACCGUACCAACCUUCGUAUGGAUUACAUACGGAACCUGCGCACGUAUGAUAGACGUGGGCGAAAGCAACCACGAUGAUAGGGUCCUUUGAAUAGAACUCCCUAUCAACCUUCGCAUACUCGUGAUGCGGAACUCGGCACACGUAUGACAAACGUGGCGAAGUUCUGGAAGGGUUAGCAAGAUAACCAAGUAAAAUAUUAGCCACCUAAAACAACCCCAAAAUCCCCUAGGGCCUCUCGCACUAAAGUCAUCCUUAACGAUCGUACGAGAUUUUUCAAAAAGUUUCUUGCAACUUUUAUCUUUCCAAAGAAGUGUUAGGGCUUGUUGUGUUCUCUGUACUGCUAAACCGGCUCUGGUACCAGCUGUGGCGGAUCCACUUCGGAUCUACUUGGUUAAACAUGAUCUAGCCGCCUGAUAUGCGACGCUCAUGCCUAAGCCGAGUAAACACGAAGUGCCGUCAGAUUUCCUCUGAUUUAACCACUUGAACAGGACAAUUUUAGCAGACUCACACGAAGGUGACCGGUUCCAGAAAGUACAACAAGUCCACCGAGUUAACAACUUAACCACUUAGUUUGGUUAUGAAAUAAACAUCAGAGUUUUACAGGGUUUUCAGAAAGACAACAGAAGGUAAAACCACUAGCGGAAGCAACGUCGGGGUCGGACGGAUAAGAGGGGUCGGGCGAAGCGGACAGGGGUCGGGCGGGGCGGAUCAGGGGUCGGCAGCUUACCUUCUUCCUACAAGGAAAGCUUGGGGUCGGGAAGAAGCAGACUUGGGCGGAGGGGCUAAGGUUUUGAACAACGGCUAGGUCCGGCAGUGCUCCGGCGGCGGCGGUGCUUCUUGUGGAUCACAAGUGAGCUCUUACGCAGCACGGAGGAGCAAGCGGCUGGAUGGUUUUGGGAAAAUAGGGUGGAGCGGAGAGGAAACUUCCUCACGAACUUAGUAUGUGGCGCUAGGAGCUCGAGCAGGGAGCAAGAGAAAUGGCUGAAAGGCAGCAAUGGCGGAGGGAACUCCGGCGGGGCUCGCGCAUUCCCUUUUAUAGCGGCUGGAAAGGGAGAAGGGAAGCGGCGCGGGAGUGAGAAGGGAGCGGCGCGAAGGCCGGGGAAGAAGCAAUGGAGUGCUCUGCCGGGGCGGCGAUUGAGUGACGAGGGCGGUGGUGCAGAACUUCGGGGAUGACGCCAGUGGUCAUUGGGCUCUGGCGUCAGGGCGGCGCAGGAGCGGGUAUGCCGGUGGUUGAGGUUUGGCGGAGGCGGGCGUCGUCGUGCGAUAGAGUUGAUGGAAGUGACCGGGUUAACGGCGCUAGAAUCGAGGGCGCACAGGUGAGAAGACAGGCAGCCGUGGGCGCGCGGGCGAGCGCGGAGCAACAGAUUGUCGGGCGGCUUCUGACAGGGCGGGGAAAGGAGCUGUCGCUGCCGUGGUCGGGGUUGGCGAAGGAGGAAUCGUCGGGUAGCGAAGACCAGGCGGCGCGACUGUGUCGAAGUGACGGAAAAGACGGGCAACAUUGGGCUCUGCGGCCGGGAUCUGGCGAUGUGAUGAUGGGCGCGGGAGGCGAGGCGUUGCAGAAAGGUUGCAGAGGGGCUUCCGCUGCAAUUGGGGAAGGGGGCGCGAGAAUCCAUUCGGUCGCGGGCCAGAGACGAGGCUUAGCGGCGGGUGUCGGAGAAGUUGAGCCACGCGGCAGGGAAACUCUGAAGCGGGCAUGCAACUCGAGUGCGCCUGUCGCGAAAGAUCUGGGGAAAAAAGAUCUCGUGGGUCCACCGGUCAGAUAGAACGGACGUUUUGGGAAGGACUUAGAAGGAUCCGACGGUGAGCUGGGUUUGGCGGGGUCGGAACCGGAGCGAAGCGGGGAGGGGUCGGGUCUCAGGGGUCGGGACCGGUCGGGAGGUUGAACACUUAGGCUCGGAAAACUAGACAGGUGAUCAGGGGCUCGGAUUAAGAUUAACUGGUAAGAUUUGGGGCCGGUCAUCACAGAGACCCUACCCCGCCUGCGGCUCCCUUCUUGUUCCCCUUCCCCACCUCCCCACCAUUACCAUCAACACCCCCUGCCCCAGCCCCGCCCACCAAAUAUCCACCACCACUUCGGGCGGUAGCCUCACCGCCGCCUUGCCGUUGUUGCCUCUACACCCACCACCACAGCCUGGCUGUCCUGCCACCCAAAGAUUUCUUCUAAGGCCGUCCGAUUCAAGUGAGCCCCCAAACCCAACCCCGAAACAGAACUCGGACACUAACCUUGUCAGAGUUGUUGCCAGGGUCGGGGAAGACGAGCUCAUCCGCUGCGGCUGCUGUUGCGCGUGUGCUUUUAGGAUUCGGGUGUGAGGAGCUUCCCAACACUCUAGCUUUCCCUUUAAGGAAUUGGGAGGAUUCAACACAUAUUUGUUGGACAUGUACACAUUCAUGGUAUUUUUCAAAGGACGCUAUUUUCAGCAGGUAAUUGUCGGAUUUAGGGGGUGUUUGAAUCCUCAGCCUAAACUUUAGUCCCUGUCACAUCAAAUGUUUACAUACUAAUUAGGAGUAUUAGACAUAGACUAUUUACAAAACCUAUUGCACAGAUGGAGGCUAAACGGCGGGACGAAUCUAUUAAACCUAAUUAGUCCAUGAUUUGACAAUGUGCUGCUACAGUAACCAUUUGCUAAUGAUGGAUUAAUGAGGCUUAAUAGAUUUGUCACGCCGUUUAGCCUCCAUCUGUGUAAUUAGUUUUAUAAUUAACUCAUAUUUAGUCCUCCUAAUUAGCCUCCAAAUAUUCGAUGUGACAUGGACUAAACUUUAGCUCUAGGAUCCAAACACCCCUUAAAAUACACAUGAAUUUGCCUUAAAAUUUUCCUUCAUAGUACUGUCGUACAGAUUUAGUAGCUAGGAAAUUGUGGGCCGGUUAGCACUUUGCACUCAGCAGCAUAUAUAUGUCGCGAGGAAUGGAAGCGCUGCCGUGACAGCCAGUGGCAGAUCAAGGAUUUCUGACAACGGAGAAUAUUAGGCAUUGCAAGAAUCGAUCAACGCGUUAACUUCGUUGGUACCUAGUCACACGUGGAGAUGAUAUAACAAGCCUUGCAGUAAGAGAUUUAUACUAAAUAUGAGCAUUUGUCCUCUACCUUAAGUACCGGUCUAAUAUUAAUAUUAAUAUUAAUAUUAGUACUAGGUCCGAAAUCUAAGUACGAAAUUGGGGCCCCGAAAGUUUUUCAAGACUGCGUCGUAACAUGUACCAACUUGUACUAAAAAGUACCUUUUAGUACUGGAUGGUAUUAUGACCCGGUACUAAUACUUCUAGAACUUUUAGUACCGCGUAAUAACAUUACCCGGUACUAAAGGAUCACUUUUAUACCGGAGGAUGGUAUGACCCGGUACUAAAGGUCUCUCUAAGGGAAUAUAUCUGCAUCCAUCACAUGUGCUGUGUAGGUGGAGUGGUAAGGAAGGACGACGCAAGGUUGGAGCUUGUGGGUUUGAAUCCCAAGGACCGUGCAUGCACGUAUUAUACACGUGACUUGUGACUUCCAGCGGUCCGCGGAUUUUUUUCUUCAUAUUUUGGGGAAAAAGCCAGUAGUGAAAGAGGUCGUCCAUACAGCUGUGUCAAGGUCAAGUAAACCCUAUGCGUUAAAGGCCCUCUCUCCAGCAGAGUCGUCCUAGGCAUGUAAAGGCCCUGCAAAAAUAAAAUGGAUUUAUUUUUCAAUAACGGAGGUAACCUCCGGUAUAUGCACCAAUCGGAGAUGCACAGGACCAUUUAUUCUUUGGAAAUAUGGAUACAAGGAUUGUGACAACGGUGAAUGUUUGGCAUUGCAAGAAUCGAUCAACGCGCUAACUUCGUUGGUACCUGGAGUCAUACGUGGAGAUGAUAAACAAGCCUUGCCGCGCAUUUAUCUGAUGAUGAGAUUACCGAAGACUAGUAUGCAGUACAUACUGACUCGCUAGUAGUGAAAGAGGCCGUCCAUACAGCUGUCUCAAUGUCAAGUAAACCCUAGGGCCUCGUUCCAAUGGGGAAUUCUAGCUCGCUCUAGCAGAGUCCUAGGUGUUAAAGGCCCUGCAAAAAUAAAAUGGAUUUAUUUUUCAAUAAUGGAGGUAACCUCCGGUAUUUGCACCAAUCAGAGAUGCACAGAAACAUUUUAUCUUUGAAAAUAUGGAUACAAGGAUCUAAACUCAAGUGGGUGGAGUUAUGCACUGAUAACUUCAUCACCGAUACAUUAGAGGAAUCAAGCUUCGUAUUGAUUAUUUUUUAAAAAUAAAAUCUCAUAGCAGUAAAGUGCGCUGGUGGUCAUAAAAACUUUAGGGGGCACGUAGGUCUCUAUUAUUAAUUAUUGUCAUUUAAAGUUCAAUUAUAAAUAAUUAACAUAUGCUUGCCUUCGUGGGGCUCAACGUUGUAAUUAGAUCGCUCUACACCAUUCAUGACCAACCUGGAGCUCCUGUAUAGACCGGUGAGAGACAAAAUGGGGUGGAUGUUAGGGGAUGACAUGUCUGAGUGCUACAAUUUAAAAAUUCUGAAUCUGAAAUUCUAUAACUAACAAUUCCAUUUUAAACGUCAGAGUCUAAAAUCACUGAUCCUUCCAUUUAAGGAUAUAUCGUUAGCAGUAGUGGCAUUAACGGGGAGCGGGAGAAGGCCUGGGUAGCUAGCUGCUCCAUCCGUGGAGUAAGCAGCACAGGUUCGAACCCGUCGUUAGGCAUGUAUUCGCUAGAGUGGAAGGUGGUCCGGCCGGCGUAGCGUUCUCAUAACGUACGGGCUACUCUAGCCCCUAGCCCCUAUAGUAAUGACAUUAAAAAUAAUUUGUUAAAUUAUAAGAAUAUUUAGUGUAUAAAAUUAGCAUCAAUAUAUCUAAAAUAAAAUCAUUUUGAGAUGAUAUUGAGUACUUAGCAACUGACGAAUUUUAAGAGAAAUUGAGAGUCAAAAUCAACUUUGGAAGACUUUUCCCCAUUUUAAAUAGGCCUAUAACACAACGCAUAGUUUCAUCUUUUUAGUUUUCAAGACUACAUGCAAGACAUAAAGAUUUUAGAAACAGUGUACACAUGGUUUCAUCCCCAUAAACUACUUUCUUCUUUCACCUCAUAAAUAGUGUGUCAUGUCAUCCAAAUUGCUUGUGUCAGCUCAUUUAUUGUCCAUGAAAUUGCCAUUGAGAAUGACCUAAGAACCAAAUGGUUGUGUACAUGAUGCUGCGUGUCAAAACUAACAAUAAAGGUUGAUUUGAUAAUAAAUUGAAGGGUCAAGGACGAUUUGAAUUAAAUAAUUUUGCUACCAACACACGUAAAUACAUGAAUAUUUUCAUAAUAAAGAUCCAUCAGCAAAGGUAGUACCAUGCACUAAUAAAAAAUAAAGAGGCAGCACCACAUAAAACCCUACGUAGACGACUAAACAGGCACCACUUGUGUGUGCUCUGCCGAAGGAGCUGCGUCAGCGUGAUGUUGUGGCCGUUGUCCUUCAAUCUCUCCGGUUAUCUCCUCCAGUGACUUCCCCUUUGUCUCCGGCAAGAGGAGCGUAAACACAAGACCGACUAUGUUGCAGCCAACAAGCCCGAACAUCGUUCUUGCGACGUGAUUUUCCGUGUACCGGAGGGCAAACACGCCGAUGAUGGCGCCAAUCUUCCCAAAGGCCCCGGCUAUGCCAUGGCAGGACGAGCGUAGCCGCGCUGGGAAGAUCUCCGCCGGAAUUAUGAAAGUCGUCGUGUUUGGACCGAAAUUAGCAAAGAAGGUGGUCAUGCCAUACAUGACAGCAAAGCCGUACUUGUUCUUGUGUUGUUUAGUCCAGUAGUGAUCGUAGGGGGCAGCGAGGCAGAUGAUUAAGACGGACAUCAUGGUGAACCCAAGUAUUUGAAUCCUGACACGGCCGAUGCGGUCCACGAACACGACGGUGCCGAAGUACCCUGGCAAUGUACCACAGAGGGCUAUGGCCGUGUGCAGUGCGGUAGUUUUGAUCAUCCGCUGGAACGGGUUGUUGUUGCCUUCCUCUGGAGUGGGAAGCAGCCCUACAUUGGUGAAGAUGUCCUUCAUGAACAGAUUAAGCGAGUAGAAGGUGAUGUCGACAGCAAGCCAGCACACACUGGUCGCGAGGAGGUGCACACCAUGGCGGCGGCGGAACUCUGACGAAAAGAGACCGUACUGGCCCGGCGGGGCGAGCUCGUUGACAGCUUCAUCCUCCGGCACGAUGUCCUCGUUGAGGACGGAGGCCAUGUCUGAGGCUGCCUUCUUCACAUCCUUGGUGACGAGGGCCGUGUACCGCGCCGUCUCCGGCAUCUUCAUGCGCCAGUAGUAGGUGAGGGCAGCCGGAACGGCGCCGAACAUGAGAACAAUCCGCCAGACGAAGUCAGCGUUGGAUGUGGUGCUGUUCAGAAAGGCGGCUGACACCACCAUUCCGACGAUCCCUGCUGCAAGAUUGCCAAAACCCUGAGAUUUUAUCCAUCAGACCAUCAGUUCAUAUGUGUUAGUCACAAAUCCGAUGUUCUAAUUUAAUUCAUCAUCAGCCGUAGUGUCAUUCAUAAGCAAACCAUCAGCUAUGCUCACCUGCAUGGCGAAAACAGCGGCGAUGAAGGCGCCGCGUCUCUUCUUGUUGGCGUACUCCGACAUGAUGGUUGCCGAGAGCGGGUAGUCGCCGCCGAUGCCAACGCCGAGCCAGAAACGGAAAAAGCAGAGCACGGUGACCACGUUCUUCCCCAAGCGCUUGCUGAAGGAGAGGCCGGAUGCGAGGGAGGUGACCACCAUGAGGAUGAGCGUGACACCGUAGAUGCGCUUGCGCCCCAUCUUGUCGCCGAGCCAGCCGAAGACGAGCUGCCCCGGGACGGCACCGCACAGGGCGAUCCCCUUGAUGACGGCGGAGACGCCGCGAGGAGUAUGCCCUUGGUAGUACUGGUAGCCGAUGAGGUCGGUGACGAGUGAGAUGGCGAAGAAGUCGUAGGCGUCUGUGAAGAAGCCCAUGCCGGCGAUUACGAUGGCCAUGAAGUGGUAGAGCUGUGUCCUUGCCACAUCCAGAGCGUACAGCACACUCAGCUGGCCGCGAGCCAUUGGGCUCUCGAAGAACACUGAACACUCUGCCUCCGCAGAUCCUCUCGUUGUUGUUGUUGCAGGCCUCCUUGCAGAUAAAUAGAGUUGCAAAACAGUUGCUUUCACGCGUUUCUCGUUGAUUAGGGUUUUCUCCUAGGAGACAUGUGUAAAUAAUUAGCUCUGUUUUCAAUCAGACACAAAUAUAAAGUUAACUGAAUGAUCCAAUAUCACUGCUGGGAAACGACCAUUUGUUUCUAAACCUUCCUUAGUAUCGGUUGUACAACCUGUACUGCUAUGUCGGUACUAAAGUGAAUCCUUUAGUACCGGAUCAAAUAAUCAGUACUAAAUGGUACUUAUUAGCACUGAUUGGUGUUAUCAACACAUACUAAUAUGUUUUUCGUCCAAAAAAAUAAAGAAAAAAUAAAGGUUGGUGUAACGUGAUUUUCACACAUACUAUGCGCCUGCGCGCUCCAUGGGAUUCAAACUCACGACCUCAAGCUCGCGCAAACCUUCCUUACCAUCCCACCUACACAUCACAUGUAUUGGUGAUAGAUAUGCUUUCCUUUUGAAGUAAUCUGUGGAGAGACAUGUAAUACCGGGUGGUAUUAUGACCCGGUAUUGGGGGAAAUAUCAACGACUUCCUUAUUUUCCUUAAACGACGAUCAUAAGGGCCCAGGCCCACCUCCAGCAACAGUGACCUCCGCUGACUCAGCCCGACCCCCGGGUCACAGGGUCGGACGCGCCCGACCCCCCGAUGCCGCUCCUCUUCCCAGCCGGGACAGUUCCGCCUCGCCCGACCCCCGGGCGAGAGGGGUCGAACGCGCCUGACCCCUCGCGGCAGGUAUCCGCCUCGCCCGACCCCGGGCGCAAGGGGUCAGACGCGCCCGACCCCUCGUCGCAAGGCUCCACCUCGCCCGACCCUGGGCGCAAGGGGUCGGAUGCAUUUGGACCCACAGGAUAGAGCUCCACCUCGCCCUAGGACAUACCCGGACCCGCAGACGAGGGCGUAGAUCUUAUGGGGCCCCACCGAUCUCGCCAUAAAUGCCACCGAUGGGGCGCGCUUUACCGGAACACGGCUUUGACACACGGAGAGGCGCUCGCGUUCCUCGACGUGACCUGCGAAGUUUUCGGGCGGCGCACUGCUGCCACGACUGCACAGGGCUACAGCUGCACCGUCCUACCCCUCCCCUGUGGCAUUCGUCAUAGGGUACUCUUGCCCAUGUUCCAGGGUGCGCCGCCUGGUUUCCCGCUCAGCCUGGCAGCAAGGGCAAGUCAGCCGCACCUCCCAGAAAGCACGCGUGGCAACAAUGGUCACCCGUCAUCCCCGACGUGCAUGGUUAUGGUGGCCAGUCGUCAUCAUCAACUCGUAGAGCUAUAGUGGACGAUCGCCAAGCACGUCUCGCAUGCUUGGCUAUAGUGGCCGACCACCGGGUCUUCGAUGGGACCCCACGGCAACCCCGGUGGCUCAACCUGUCUCCCUGUACUUUACCUCCCAGGCUUUAUCUUUUUUACUUCCCCUGACUCCCGGCUGGAUUGCAACUCCUGUGUCCUCCUUACGCUAUAAAAGGAGAGCCAAGAGGUCCGAGAAGGGGACGGCUCUCAAGCGAACCGAAUCAGCCCCAACUGACAAUCCUACUACGUGAGCAUCAGUGCACACCCACAGAGACUUGGGACCAGCUUCCCUCUCUUGCUCGUUUGUAACCCCUACCACAAACUUGGCAUGAGUAACACGAGCAGCCUCCCACACUAGACGUAGGGCUAUUCCUGCCCGAACCAGUAUAAAUCCCAUGUCCUCUUGUGCAACCAUCCGAGCCUUACGUGCAUAGAAAUAAAUUUACUUGCCGGAGUCUUGACCCAUGAUUCUUGACAACGACAGUUGGCACGCCAGGUAGGGGGCCUUUGCGCGUACGUCGAUCAUCAGCAGCUUCGGAUGGCCAACCACGACAUCGGCUUCGCUCCUGGCUCCCACAUCCGCUUCGGGAGCCUGGGCUUUCUCGCCACGGGAGAGGGAAUCAAGCUGAUUCCUCUCCUCAUCCUGCUCGCUCACCCUAUCACCUUCGGCUCCACCAUCGGAACGGUGGUGAGUGGCCGGGCGCGCACCACGGGGCCUCCUUCGGAGGAGCGGCCCCUUGGCCUACACAACACCGCGACGAGUUACGGCCGUCUCCUGGCACGAUUCAUGAUCGUGCCACCCACAAGCAACGAGUUCGUGGGCGUAAUGAGGACAUCCUCCGACGUUGGUUCCCACAACAGGAGCCACCACCCCUCGCGUGAGUGCUUCAUGGUCGAUGUGCACUCUGCGGGGUCCAACGACGACAGCGGCGAAGGGAGGCAGCGCACUCCCCCACCAUGCACCGCAGCUACAGCCGGAGCCCUCGUCACUGUCCCGGAGCAGCCUCAGCUGCCGGAGGAUCACACGGUGCCCAAUCAGGAGAUCGAACUCCCCCGCAAUGAAGGCGGAGCACGUCAGCGGGCAUGCAACAUCCAGCGGCGCAUCUGCGAGGAUGAGACUCGCCCUCAACUCUUCGCAUGCGCCAGCCAAUACAUCGCCGCCGUAGCGGUCCUACUCCGACAACUCCCCAAGCCAGCGAUGCCUGAGAAGCAACAGGCCCACCAAGAGGUGCGCAACCUGCUUGACUGCACCGCAGUCCAGCAGGCAGAGAGCUCCGCGUCCUAGCGACGUGGACACAACACCAGUAGGGCAACGCCCACCACGCCUCUCGAAAGGCAGGGGGAGUCUAUCCAACAGCCUCCCCCCAGGGGGAAUCGGGCUGCGCCCGUUUGACGGACCCCGCCGCCUGUAGGUGGCGGAGCCCCGUCUGUCCACCGGCGCAUUGGUCCUGUCCGCGACGCCCGCGACACCCUGGACGCGCGGAGGUGCUCCCGCGCAGACAGGCACGACGGAGCAGACCACGGCUACCACGUACACCAUGGAGGCCGCUACGAUAGCGAAGAAGACCGGAGCCUGAGCCCCGACCCAGCAGGGCCCAAGGCCUUCUCCGCAUGCAUCCUGAACGCGCCGUUCCCGGCAUGUUUCAGGGAGCCCACCAACGUGGCCAAAUACUCCAGGGAGACAAACCCCAGGCUUUUGCUCAGUGACUACCGGCUUUUUUGUUAGGCCGGUAGGGUGGAUGAUGACCUAUUCAUCAUCCGCAACCUCCCUCUGUUCUUAGCCAACUCAGCGCGAGCCUGGCUAGAGCACAUUCCGUUAGGUCGGAUCCGGAACUAGAACGACCUAAAGGAAAUCUUUGUAGGGAACUUUCAGGGCACGUACAUACGCCCCGGAAACUCCUGGGACCUCCAGAGCUUGCGCCAGGGGUCGGAUGAGUCCCUCCGAGACUACAUCUGACGCUUCUCCAAGAAGCGCACUGAGCUCUCCAACGUCGCCGACGCCGACGUCAUCGAAGCCUUCUUGGCAGGAACUUCCUGCAGGUCCCUAGUCCACAAGCUGGGACGCAGGGGCCCUCGGACCACCGAGGAGCUUCUCAACAUCGCCACCAGCUUCGCCUCGGGUGAAGAGGCUGUCGGCGCGAUCUUUGAUUGCUCCAAAGGCAAGGCGAAGUGGGAGGAGGACACCGACGAGGGCACCUCCAACUGCCAGCAGAAGAAGAAGAACAAGCAAUGACGCGAGACUCCCCUCAUGGCUAUUGCCGAGCGCAAACGGGGACAGCCACCUCCCGAUGGCACCCCGGCUUCUUCGACAAGUUACUUGAGGGACCGUGUCCGAACCACGAGUUCCCCGCCAAGCAUGCCUACAAGGAUUGCAACCUCAUGAAGAGGUACUUUGUGGGCAAUCCGGUAAAAAGUGACCAGAGACGGAAGCCCGAAGAAGAGAAGAAGGACGUCGGAGAGAAGGAAGACGGCUUCCCCAACAUGGACGACCGCUUCAUGAUCUUCGGCGGGGCAGCGGCCUACGACUCCAGGCGCCACCGAAAGCUGGAACGCCGCGAGGUCUACGCGGCCGACCCCGCUACUCCAACCUUCCUCGACUGGUCAAGGUCUGCCAUAACCUUUGACCAGUCCGACCACCCGGAGCAUGUCCCGCAGCCAGGACGCUACCCCCUCGUCGUCGACCCUAUCAUCGGCACGAAGUGCCUCACCAAGGUGCUCAUGGAUGGAGGCAGCAGCCUCAACAUCCUCUACACCGAGACCCUCGACGCCAUGGGGAUCGACCGAUCCCGUCUCCGUCCGAGCGAAGCGCCAUUCCACGGCAUCGUGCCAGGGAAACGGGCAAUGCCCCUCGGGCAGAUCGACCUGCCCGUCACUUUCGGGACUCCUUCCAACUUCAGGAAGGAGACCCUUACUUUCGAGGUGGUAGGCUUCCGCGGAACCUACCACGCUGUUGACGCCAGAUUUCGUCAGAAGUAAAAAUCGGCGUCACGAGGAGAAGAAAUGGGGAGGUACAGCAGAAUACCGGGGUGAUAGUUGGAAAUCGGCCGAAUGGCGCUACAGUUAGAGAUCGGUUGGUUGGUGCUACAGUACAGGAUCAACCGAUGGAUCUUUAGGAAUUCUGCCUCGCUUAACCCUUGGGGUUUGGAUCGGACGUGCCUGAUUCCCGAUCGGUUACCCUUUGCCGAUAAGGAAAUUGGCCGAUUAGGAGGUUGGAAUAAUUGGGCCGGUAUGGGCUUGGAAAGGAUCAUAAGGAUGAAGAGGGAAUCAGCCCAUGAAGCGUAUAAUAACCAACCUAGUACAAGUCGUACUUGUAAAUAUUCGUUUUCUAUUUGAAUUAGGGAUAGAGUUCUAGUCAGAUAAGGAGUCGUCUGUACGGGGCUAUAAAUAGCCACCUUUGAAGAUUUGUAAUCAUCAACUACUCAAUACAACAAAUUACUAUUUCCUCGUACUUACUUUAAAGCAGGCGAUUUCGCCAAAUACUUUCUUCUUUUUCACGAGUUUGUACGGGUUGGCAGGGCUGCAUCAACUUGACCUCCAGCCAAUCUUGUAAGUUCCGUUUACCGAGUAAAUUCUAAGCUUUAACUUCGAGCGCAUCGCUGUUGUUUCGUUUAGAUUUAUUCACUAGUUAUCGAUAUUCACUAGAAUUGUAGGUUUUACCUGUUUUUCUAGUUUUAUCACCAGUUAUCCAGCUAGGAAUCGGCAGUUUCGGCUUUUCUCAUAUUUUGCUGUUUAAUUUACUUAUUCUACGCAUAGCCGAUUAGAUCUGUUCCUAGUGUUGUUACUGUAGCGUUGUACCGAUUACUUCAAUUAGUCAUCGUUCACGCUGCCUGAUAGUCGGCUGCUUUAUAGACGAUUUCUUUAUUACGGCAAAUCGGCCGAUUCACUGAUAAGCUCCCUCGAGAUCGGAAAUUUAGCCGAUCGUGACUUUUGGAUCUGACACGUAUUCUUCCUUGCCAAUCAACAGGUCAGAUUGGCUGGCACGCCGCGCGAACCGCACCAGGGCAAUCACCCGAACAGGAGUUAAGCAGAUUCUCCCGGGUCGUGUGUCAGACGUUGGGGAUUCGGUUAACCGAUUUCUAGCGCCAACACACUUUUGGCACGCCUGGUGGGACCAAUACGACCGCCACCAUGUCGAAAGCAGCUGAAGUCUCCGAAGAUAACGUCAUCAAAGUGACAGAGGCAGAUCUCAGGGACGACCAGAAGGAAGAACUAGAAAAGCAGACGGCACAAUACCGGAAGGUUUGCCUGCAGUCCUUCAGUCGCAUCAGAAGCGGGGAGACUAUCAAAAAGUCUCCGUUUCCAACUCCCCGCCAGAUCACAAUCACCGUGGACUCGGACAAGAUGGCCGAGAUGGUCCAACAGUCCAUUUAUCACGCCUUCAUUGAUCAAUCCCCGGUGCUUGCAAAUACGGUGUACAAUGCCGUCAUCAGCUCCUUGGCUAGCGGGGUACCUCAAGGGUACAAGGGACCGGCAUAUGCUCCGCCGAUUCCACCAAACAAGGGUUAUCUAAAUUCGGCUUCUCAGCCGAUUCAAUUUCCUGUUGGGGGUUCAGGCGCUUCCUCAUCAUCAAUUCCUUUGGGGUAUAAUGGCACACAACACCUCCAGCCACACCCCGUUCAGCUGUCCUCUGCGCCGUUCCCUCCAGUUAAUCCAGCGCCUUGGGGGGCACCAUCAGCUACGGCCAUUCAGGAUCAAUCGCCCGGUCAGGGAAGUCCCCAAUUCCAGGCAUCUUUCCAGGCAACCACUCGACCAACUAUGCCGCCGUACCAGCCCGUCGCACCAGAGAUGAGCAAAGCAGCAGAGCUCGUACUAUACGAUGAAACGAGUGGUUCAUUCAAACAGUCGGCUGUGUGCUAUAACACAUCAGAUGCCACAUACCUUCACUCAGCAUCAAGCCGUCCCGCCUUCGAUAUACCAGCACGUGCCAGUCCCUCAGCCAACAGUUUACCAGCAACAGCCGGACUGGUCGGCACGUAUAGCAGAAGUGAUCCAGGAACAAUUCGGCUUGAAGCCGAAGGUACAGACUUACACUUAUAGGACACCAUACCUGUCUACGUACGACCUACUGUCGUUUCCCCAUCGGUAUAAAGUUCCUGACUUCACCAAGUUCUCGGGGAUGGAUGACACUUCAACCGUGGAACACGUUAACAGGUUCAUCAUCCAAUGUGGAGAGGCAGCAGCGCAAGACGCUCUAUGCGUGCAGCUAUUCUCGUCAUCCUUGUCUGGGUCGGCCUUCCAGUGGUUCACGACAUUACCGCCGAACUCGAUUAUUACAUGGGCCGAUUUGGAAAGACAGUUUCAUAAAUACUUCUACGCCGGGGUGCAUGAGAUGAAGCUGUCCGAUUUGACCAGCCUCAAGCAGAGAAGCGACGAGCCGAUAUCCUCAUAUGUAUAGAGGUUUCGGAAAAUCAGGAACAAAUGCUACUCUUUGGCUCUAAACGAUGCACAACUGGCCGAUAUAGCCUUUCAAGGUCUCCUGCCCCACAUCAAAAAAAAGUACGCCUCACAGGAGUUUGAGAGCUUAAGCCAAAUCGUCCACCGAUUGUCUGGACAGGAGGUGCGUUCUUUCGAUCCACGGAGGAACUUCCAGAAGAAGGUUGCAUUCCUAGAAGAGGUUGAAGCCGAAGAAGAUGCUGAGGUCGGUCUUGCGGAGUGGGUCAAGGGAAAGAAGCCAAUAUCAUGCCCGAUCGGCAAGAAAGAGCCAGAAACGUUCGGCUUUGACACGACGAAGGCCGAUAAAAUCUUCGACCUUCUCCUCCAGGAAGGGCAGAUCAAGCUCUCGCCAUAUCAUACAAUACCUUCUGCCGAACAACUGAAGAAGAUGAAAUAUUGCAAGUGGCACAACGCUACAUCCCAUGACACUAAUGAGUGCAAAAUCUUCCCGCAGCAGAUACAGUCGGCCAUUGAGCAGGGCAGACUUAAGUUUGAAGUACCAACAAAAUCAGCCAAGACGAUGAAGGUCGACCAGCACCCCUUCCCCACCAACAUGGUUGACAUAGGGAGGAACUCGCUCCAAACAAAGGUGCUGACGUCCGAAUCGACUAAAAAGAGUGGUGCCGUAGACCCCAGAAAUCAAGCUACACCUGAAGAUGUCAAGGGGAAGCGGCGGAUCGAGGACGACGACGGCGAAUCGGGUGAGCCACGCAUUACUUCCCAAUUCCUGCUCCGAAAAUAUCAGCGGCAAGAUGAACGCUCAAAAUCCUGGGAAGAAGCGAUGCGGCGACACGAAGAUCACUGGAGGUGCCCGUUCUUCAUCCACUGUUGGGAGAGCAACCUCAGGCUACCUUUGGCCGAUAAUUGCCCUGAAUGCAACGGCCCGUAUCGUAACAAUCGGCCGUUCAACAGGUCUCGCUCUAGAGACGGGAGAUCAGAACCGAUCAGCAGGAACUGGCACGACCAAGACGACCGGCGCCCUCCCGUGCGUGAUCGGCUAGGGGGCAGUAGUGACCGAUAUGACCGGUCGGAAGACAGACGCCAUGAUAGGCCGGGGGGCAGGUUUGAUCGACGUGACCGGCCAGAAAAUAGGGCCAACGUUCACAGUCGGCUUGAAGAGAUGGCCGACGCUCGGGUGACAGACGAAAACCCUUUAGGACGCGAGCCGGAGUGGGAACGCGCCAGGCCAAGAACCAAACCAGUAAACCCCAGGUGGUGUCCCGACGGAUUGACCAAAUCUCAAAAACGAAGGAUCCAACGUCUCCGCCAAUGGGAGCAGCAGGAGGAAGAACAACAAUGCACGACAGACAAGAGGGAAGGCAGGUCUCAGGUAUGGCACCCCAAAAGAAACGACAGAGGGGGCGACGAAUCGGCGGGUGAGGAAUCGGCAACCGACAUCGGUAUGGUUUUCAUACUGCCGAUGGAAUUUAUGACUCCUACCGACCAACAGGAUAUGUCGACGAUAGAAGAGCAGAUGGCACAAUUGGCUUUGGAGCCCAUGAUAGCCACGUUCGAGAAGCCCGAAGACGACAAAAGGCAACAUCUGAAAGCGUUGUUCCUUAAAGGGCAUGUCAACGGCCGACCCCUCACCAGAUUAAUGGUAGACGGAGGAGCUGCAGUCAACAUCAUGCCAUAUGUCGUGCUCCGGAAGCUUGGGAAAAGUGAUGACGACUUGACCAAGAUAGACAUGAUGCUCAAAGACUUCGAGGGCAACGUGUCCCCCGCUCGCGGCGCCCUCUGCGUCGACCUCACCAUCGGCAGUAAGACCCUUCCCACUACCUUCUUUAUUAUUAAUGGCAAGGGAUCCUACAACAUGCUACUCGGCCGAGACUGGAUACACGCAAAUUGCUGCAUUCCGUCGACAAUGCAUCAGUGUCUUGUACAAUGGGUCGGCGACAACAUCGAGGUGGUCAAUGCCGAUUCCACGUACAGCAUCGCGGCAGCCGACACGCAGCAGUGGAGCUGCGAAACCGUCAAGUGCAUAUCUGGUAGAGUAUGGGAUACCGACUUCCUGAAGGUGUCCGAUUUUGGCUUACAGCCGAUCCGAGCAAUCGGCUCCGAGGACUCAGAUUAAAUGGAUCAGUUCGCCCGAGAAGAUGGGAAGCUAGGGCACGGGUUCACGUCGGCCGAUUCAUUAGAGAUGAUAGACUUAGGCGAUGGCACCAAAUCAAGACCGACUUAUAUUAGUGCAAAUUUAGACUCAGAAUACAAAUGUAAAUUGACAAAUUUGUUAAGAGAAUUUAAGGAUUGUUUUGCUUGGGAGUAUCAUGAGAUGCCCGGAUUAGAUCGAUCUAUUGUUGAACAUCGGCUACCCAUAAAACCAGGAUAUCGGCCGUAUCAACAGCCGGCACGGCGGUGCAAUCCUAAAAUUCUACCAGACAUAAAAGCCGAAAUAACUCGGCUAAUCGAAGCAAAAUUUAUUCGGCAAUGCCGUUAUGCCGAGUGGAUCUCCAAUAUUGUACCAGUGUACAAGAAGAACAGAAAGCUAUGCGUGUGCGUUGAUUUCAGGAAUCUUAAUCAGGCCACACCAAUGGACGGAUACCCCAUGCCAACGGCCGAUGUGCUGAUAGACGCUGCCGCGGGACACAAGAUUAUUAGCUUCAUGGACGGAAACGCUGGGUACAAUCAAAUACUUAUGGCCGAAGAGGACAUACCCAAAACGGCCUUCAGAUGCCCGGGCCACCUUGGUUUAUUCGAGUGGGUGGUGAUGACUUUUGGCUUGAAAAACGCCGGCGCCACGUAUCAGAGAGCCAUGAACUACAUAUUUCACAAACUCAUCGGCAUACUGGUAGAAAUCUACAUCGACGACGUCGUAGUCAAGUCCAAAGGGCACGAAGAGCAUCUGGCCGAUUUGCGAAAAGUGCUGGAAUGCACUAAGAAACAUAGGCUGAAGAUGAACCCGAAUAAAUGUGCCUUCGGCGUGUCCGCCGGACAGUUCUAAGGAUUCAUGGUGCAUGAGCGGGGAAUAGAAAUCAAUCGGAAGACCAUAGCGGCUAUCAACAAAGUCGUGGCCCCGCAGAAUAAAACUGAAUUGCAGUCUUUAAUCGGCAAGGUGAAUUUUAUCAGAAGAUUCAUAUCUAAUCUAUCUGGGCGGAUCCAGGCUUUCACACCACUAUUAAAGUUGAAGCCCGACCAGGAGUUCAUAUGGGGGGAGGAGCAACGCAAGGCGCUGGAAGAUAUCAAGCAGUACUUGGUCUCACCACUGGUAUUGGUUCCCCCUCAAACUGGUAAGCCAUUUAAAUUAUACUUAUCAGCCGAUGAAAAGGCUAUUGGGUCGGCUCUAGUCCAGGAAUUCGAAGGAAAGGAACGAGUAAUUUAUUAUGUCAGUAGAAGACUUCUGGACGCUGAAACAAGAUAUCCUCUUGUGGAGCGGUUGUGCCUAUGUCUUUACUUCUCAUGCACCAAACUCAGGCACUAUUUACUGUCGGCGGAAUGCGUGGUCGUAUGCAAAGAUGACGUAGUAAAAUACAUGCUGUCACUGCUGAUCUUGAAAGGACGAAUCGGCAAAUGGAUCUUAGCUUUGUCAGAGUUUGACCUGCGGUAUGAAUCGGCGAAAGCCGUCAAAGGUCAGGUCAUGGCCGAUUUCAUCGCCCAACACUGCGGACCAGAGACUACCUUUGUAGAACCGGUGCCUUGGACUUUAUACUUUGAUGGAUCGUCAUGUGGGGUCGGAUCAGGAAUCGGCAUCGUCCUCAUAUCACCUCGGGGGGCAAGUUAUGAUUUUUCUCUGCCAAUAGAAGCCACCGCCACUAACAAUCAAGCAGAGUACCGGGCUGUAUUGAAGGGUUUACAACUACUAAGAGAAGUCAAGGCCGAUUCUGUUGAAGUUUUCGAAGAUUCCAUGCUUAUUGUGGAUCAAUUAACGGGGAGGUCCGAAUGCAAGGACAAUGUAUUGAGAAUUUAUUAUGAGGAUUGCCUACAGCUCUUAAAAGAAUUUAAAUCGGCAGUAAUCGAGCACAUCCCAAGGGAUCACAACGAGGAUGCCAACAAACUUGCCCAGCACGCAUCUGGAUAUCAGCCAAUUCUAGGCGCUAUGGCUCUGGAACUCGCGGCCGAUGACUGGCGAAAAGAAAUUGCCGACUACUUGAAAGAUCCGUCUAAAAAAGUGGAUCGACGGGUGCGUUUCCAUGCUACCAAAUACGUACUGCUUGAAGACGACUUAUUCUACCGAACGAUUGACGGCGUCCUGCUCAAAUGUCUGGGAACAAAGGAGGCUAAGACUCUGAUGGGAGAAAUCCAUGAAGGGGUGUGUGGAGCCCAUCAAUCGGCCCGUAAGAUGAAAUGGAUGAUCAAAAAUAAUGGGUAUUACUGGCCAACGAUCCUCGAAGAUUGCUUCAAAUAUUAUAAGGGAUGCCAGGAUUGUUAGAAAUUCAGGAAUGUCCAACGUGCGCCCGCAUCAGCCAUGAAUCCCAUUAUCAAGCCAUGGCCGUUCAGAGGAUGGGGAAUAGACCUUAUCAGCCAAAUUUACCCUCCAUCAAGCAAAGGGCACAAAUUCAUUCUGGUGGCUACCGAUUACUUUACCAAAUGGGUGGAAGCAAUUCCGUUAAGAGUCGUGACAUCGGCUACCAUGGCCGACUUCGUAAGGGACCAUAUCGUCUACCGAUUCGGCAUUCCCCAGACUAUUACAACCGAUCAGGGAACAAUGUUCACAUCAGGGGAAUUCGAGGAAUUCACAGCCGAUAUGGGAAUCAAAUUGUUAAACUCCUCUCCAUAUUACGCCCAAGCUAACGGCCAGGCCGAAUCCUCCAACAAAGGGAGAAUUAAGUUAAUCAAAAGGAAGAUAGAGGAGCAGCUGAAAAAAUGGCAUCUAUGUCUAACUGAAGCCCUAUGGGCAUACAGGAUGGCUUGCCAUGGGGCCACCAAGUUAUCCCCUUAUCAGUUGGUGUACGGUCACGAUGCAGUACUGCCGUGGGAAUCAAGGGCCGGGUCGAGGCGCAUUUCGCUCCAGGACCAGUUAACGGCCGACGACUACUCGUCACUCAUGAAAAGAGAACUUGAUGACUUGGCUGGCCAGCGAUUGAGAGCUUUGAUAAGCAUUGAGGAAAACAAGAAGAAAGUGGCCAGGUGGUACGAUAAGAAGGUCAAAGUCAAACAAUUCUCCCCAGGGGACCUGGUUUGGAAGUUAGUGUUGCCGAUUGGGUCGAAAGGUCCUAAAUUCGGAAAGUGGUCCCCUACAUGGGAAGGGUCGUAUAAAAUCGGCAGAUGUGCUCCAGGAAAUGCUUAUAUUUUGGAAACAAUCGAGGGAGAAGAGUUUACUAGGGCUCUAAAUGGAAGGUACUUGAAGAGAUACUACCCUAGUAUAUGGGUCGGAGCAUAAAGGAUCGACCACGAUACAACGGCACACAGCCGAUACAAAAAGGUUCAUUUAGAAAAAACAUGUAAUCGUCCAAAUCGGCCGAUGUAUUCAUUCGGUACGGAUGGUGGGUUACACGGCCGACAAGGUACAAGUCUCCCUUAGAACAAAAAAUAAUAAUUAACCAUUCUUUUUCUUACGCUCUCUCUCAGCCCGACCUAACUGUAUCAUUAGACGGAUGUACUCUUCUUCUAUCUCUUUCAUCGAAGCCUCCGCUUCGACUUCACGGGGGAGAGGGUGGCUCCGGUCCAUGGCCGGGCGCGAUGUUCCUGCUGUCGCAUCUUCAAGGGCGACUCGUGGAGGAAGCGGGUGACUUCUAUUGGCUUGAGGCCGCCGGCGGGCGUUGCCGUCCAGAAAGUCCUAGAUCCGACGGAUGUCAGCAGGGACAUGUUCUUGAAGUUCGUCACGAUGAGCCCUGAUUAAAUCCUUGUCCUCUGACGAUAACGGUUCAUCAGAGUGCAUGAGCUCGAUGGCGUGUUCAAGUUCGGGGUUAAGGCGCCGUGGCUGAAGAAAAGAACGAUUAAAAAGGUAAUCCCCUUCAAAAGAGUUAAAUGGAGAAGAAGGAUCAAGGCCGGAUUUUCACCUGGUUGAUAGAGGAAGAGGAAGACGAUGAAGACAUAACUGAAGGUCGCGCCGACGAGAGCAGGAUGGGAAAACAAAGCCGAGCCAAACUGAUACUCUCGGAAGGAGGGUCUAGGCCGGCAUUUAUAAGAAAAAGAGGUGUAGAUAUUUGGUAAGGGUGCGUCCCGUCGGAAGUGAGAAAGGCAAUGAAUAAAAGAGGCGUCACGAAGGACGGUCAAAGCAGUCAUUAAAGGUUCGUACAAAAUAGUCAGUACUUUUACAGAUUACCCAGAAGGGCAUCGAUAGCUGCAAUCGCUCGACGCCGGAUCUGAUCGGCAGAGUCCAAAACCCGUUGGUCAUCAUCCGCCGAUCCGGGGACUUCUGACGCACUGCGGUGGAGUUUUAGGGCUUCAUGGGCCAAAUGCUGCCUCUCCUGUUUUAGAUCGGCGAUGACGGAAGGGAGUUCUUGGAUCUUCUUCUCUUCGGCACUUAUUUCUUUGGUCACCUGUUCCAUUUCCUUGGCGAGCUCUGCCCUUCGGCGUUUGAGGCGAUCUAUCGUGCCGACAAUCCCUGGGCGAGAGUCCUCCAGAAAAUGAAUGCGUUGGUGCACCUCUUGGGCCUGACGUUUGUACGCAUCCUCUUCUUCACGAGUCUUGGCCAACUUGGCGUGAUCGGCCAUGUGACGAAGGGCUCUGAAAACCGGGAUCCUCAUCGACUCGAUGUACGCGGCCGGCGCCAAGGCUUCCUCCGCUUCUUCAGGCACCCGUCCGCUGACGUCACCAAAGAGCUGCCAAAUCGGCGAGGCGUCUUCUACCAAUCGGCCGAUGUCUUCUUGAAGAAGGGAUCGGAUGCUGGUAAGUUUGGCUCGGACGUCGUCAGGGACUGAGCUCAAGGUGACUUGGCGGGAGGCGACUUCUUCGUCAUCAGAGAGGGCGAUCGCGAAGGAGAAGAGACUGUUGUCAGGGGUGUCCUGUUCCUGAAAUAAUAGGUCAAGAAGAAAAAUAAAUCGGCCGAUAGUGAUAGCAAAUCGGCUAAGUAAAGUUGAAAGGUCUCUUACCUCCUUGAAGCAGAUUUCCUCAAGCUGCAUUUGGGAAGCCGUUAUCCUCGGUUCAGGGGCUGGUGCCAUGGGUUCAUCAGAAGAAGAAGACUCCACGAUGAUUGGUGCUGUGCUUGGACCAGCUUCCCGAGAGGGGACCAUUGGUUGAGGCCCGCUUGGCGUACCGAUGACCUGUGUCAGAAGGUUGGAUGAGCACGUCAUUCAAAUACUAGGGGAAUCGGUGAAAGAGUGUGAUACCUCGACGGAUGGAAGCGGGGGCGCGUCGAUGACCGAUGGAGUUGCUGCCGAUUGUUGUGAGUCCAUAGGGGUGAUCUGUGCAGUCUAAGAUAAGAGGAGUUAAUAUCGAAACAGCAAUCGGAAGGGUUAGACAUGAGUUUACCUGUACGGCCUCUAACAGCAGUGAUGCAGCGGCUGCCCCAACUUGCGCGACGACUUGAGUGUCGAUCUCUCUGUUAGCUUGAAGAGGCGGUGCGGCCGAAGUCUCUACCGAUACGAGCGUGGGAGGAUCCGCCGAUUCUAUACGGGCCCGGACUCGGCGACUGGUCUUCUUGGUGACUUUCUUCUGCGCUUGCUUCGAUCGGCCAGCAAUCACGUCCACAGAGGGGGCAUCAUAGCCGAUAAGAGGGAAAGUGGUGUACGGAUGAUGAUCUUCUAUUGGCCGACCACUCCGGCUGCGUGUUGGGGGGACGCGGUUCUCAGACUGAAGCAAUAGCAAGAUGUUAGUAUUCAACCGCGUUGAUAAAAAAAAGUAAAAAGUGAAAAUCGGCUAAGGAAAAAUACCUCGGCGUUCGGGUCGAUGUUGGUUGGAUCCAGGAGAUUGCAAUAUGCCGACUUGGAGUUGCAGAAAAGGUAUUGUUUCCAUUCAGCCCACCAAAGCUUGAAAGGCUGGACAGCGAAGGGAGCUACUAUCCAGUCGUUCAAGUCAAUAGUAGUGGAGUCUGGGAUCCGGUCUCGCAGCCGAUUAUAGUCCAGACCUGUUGUAAUCCCAUCUCUGAACUUGGCUCGGCCAGCAAAAUACACUUGAAUCGGCAGCUGACCUAUGCCGAGUUGACGUGCUGCAGCAGAGGGAUUGUAGAACUCAUAUGUAGGAGCAUCUUUCCCUGAAAAGAAGUUGGUUGGCAGAAUUCCCGGCUUGAUUAACUCGUCGGUGAGGUCCUCGUCGAAUCGGCCAGUAGUCGAGUCGAAGCAAGUUGGGAGUUUGAAGAUUGGGCCAUCUCGCCGAUAAGGGAACCAGACAGUUGCAUCUUCAUUGAAACCGUUGUAAAAGCAUCAGAAGUACUCAGCCACUUUUGUAGCAGAGUACAGGCAACCGGGGAAGGCCGACGCCACUUCACCAAAAGAUGUGCAUCGGCGUCGAGCAGUGGGAUCUUCUGCCGAUUCAAUGUUGGGGAACGUCAUCUGUUCCACCCUUUGCUGAGAAAUCUUGCUCAUGUAAAGGUUCAGCCACAAGUUGAUGAACCACCAGGGUCCGCCUGGAUUUCCAAUCGGCUCCCCCUUGGAAAGUUUGAUGCCGAUUUGAUGAAGCAUAUGGUAUGCCGCUCCUAGCAAGUGUUUUCCGAGAGGAACAGGAGUUCCUACUGAUAGUGCUUCGGCUAAGGCUUGGGUAUUGGUUGAUGGGCCGGCUGCUCUCCCGCAAAAGAAAUGUUUUUCCAACCACAUCAUUAGGAAGGCCGUGUGCUCCCUGUUCUCAACAGACCCGGCCCUUUUGUUGCAUCUAAUAAAGCCUUUCCACCCGCCGAUUCCCCUCGUGUCCAGUCGAUGUGAUGUUGCGGCUAGGAGGCGGAAAGGGGUGUCCAAGGAAGAAAUGUCUAGGCCGGUCAGUAGAACCACAUCGGCCAGUGUGGGAGUCAUAGGUCCAUGUCCAAACAAGAAUGCAUUGAGAGCAUCAGACCAAAAGUAAGAGGCUGCUAUCACUAGUGGUUCGUUGCGCUCCAUCUGGGACAGAGAAAGGUUGAUGCAUUGGCCGAUUUUGAGCUUGUCCCAUUGGACCCUCUUCGGUUCAGCUAUCCGUUGGUACCACUCCCUCCAACCAGGAGUUUCAUUCGGCCAAGACCUAAAGGUGCCCAGCCAGUGAUCCAGGUCCAUGGUGGAUUGUUUGAAGGGGAUUCUAUGGGUUUCCAAAUUAAUGAGCUCGGUUGGAUCUGGGUUCCCCAUGGGUCCGAGACAGAUAAGGCCGGGAUUUCCCGUUAGAUGGAUAGUGAUGCGAUGUCUAACCGCCUAAAAAAGGAAAGGGGGUGCGAAAGUAAGAAAUAGAUCUAAAGUAAAUGUAUUGCCGAUAGAGGAAGGAUUCGGUAAUGACCUCUGGGAUGAAGUUCCUUGUAGUCGGCGUGGCCGCCGGUGCAGCUGCGGAGGAUGAAGCCGCUAUUGGGAUCGCCAUUGGGAUCUCGGAUGAAGCUCCUUCUUCCGACGACGGAGCCACCACUGUCGCUACUUCCGCCGAAGGCGCCAUUUCUGGAGCAUCGCGCGCGGGUGAGUUGCCUGAAGGUGCCACCAUUGGAGGGGAGGAGGAAAAGCGAUGGGAAGAUGGUGCCAGGAAGCUUUGGAACUAAAGGAAAGUGCUGGAGGAAGAAGAAGGCUCGCGCGCUGAGGAAGAAGGACGUAAGCUCGAAAAGGAGGUGCGGGGAGCACUGAUAUUUAAAGGGUGUCUGAUGAAGGGUAAAAAUGGAAUUUUUACAGCGCCGGCGUUUUGAGUUUUUCGGGAGUAGUGGUUGUCGUGGGCGCCCAUUUCGAAAAGAUUGCAAUCAUCAGGAUGAAGAUCGCGAAACGGAAGGAUAUUUUCAUUGCGGUUGUUUCGGAGGGGAAGUUGAAAAGCAUUUCGAAGUAAAUACUAUGUUUUACUCCGAAACUGGGGGGCAUGUGUUGACGCCAGAUUUCGUCACAAGUAAAAAUCGGCGUCACGAGGAGAAGAAAUGGGGAGGUACAGCAGAAUACCGGGGUGAUAGUUGGAAAUCGGCCGAAUGGCGCUACAGUUAGAGAUCGGUUGGUUGGUACUACAGUACAGGAUCGGCCGAUGGAUCUUUAGGAAUUCUGCCUCGCUUAACCCUUGGGGUUCGGAUCGGACGUGCCUAGUUCCCGAUCGGUUACCCUUUGCCGAUAAGGAAAUCGGCCGAUUAGGAGGUUGGAAUAAUUGGGCCGGUAUGGGCUUGGAAAGGAUCAUAAGGAUGAAGAGGGAAUCAGCCCAUGAAGCGUAUAAUAACCAACCUAGUACAAGUCAUACUUGUAAAUAUUCGUUUUCUAUUUGAAUUAGGGAUAGAGUUCUAGUCAGAUAAGGAGUCGUAUGUACGGGGCUAUAAAUAGCCACCUUUGAAAAUCUGUAAUCAUCAACUACUCAAUACAACAAAUUACUAUUUCCUCGUACUUACUUUCAAGCAGGCGAUUUUGCCAAAUACUUUCUUCUUUUUCACGAGUUCGUACGGGUUGGCGGGGCUGCAUCAACUUGACCUCCGGCCAAUCUUGUAAGUUCCGUUUACCGAGUAAAUUCUAAGCUUUAACUUCGAGCGCAUCGCUGUUGUUUCGUUUAGAUUUAUUCACUAGUUAUCGAUAUUCACUAGAAUUGUAGGUUUGACCUGUUUUUCUAGUUUUAUCACCAGUUAUCCAGCUAGGAAUCGGCAAUUUCGGCUUUUCUCAUAUUUUGCUGUUUAAUUUACUUAUUCUACGCAUAGUCGAUUAGAUCUGUUCCUAGUGUUGUUACUGUAGCGUUGUACCGAUUACUUCAAUUAGUCAUCGUUCACGCUGCCUGAUAGUCGGCUGCUUCAUAGCCGAUUUCUUUAUUACGGCAAAUCGGCCGAUUCGCUGAUAAGCUCCCUCGAGAUCGGAAAUUUAGCUGAUCGUGACUUUUGGAUCUGACACGUAUUCUUCCUUGCCAAUCAACAGGUCAGAUUGGCUGGCACGCCGCGCGAACCGCACCAGGGCAAUCACCCGAACAGGAGUUAAGCAGAUUCUCCCGGGUCGUAUGUCAGACGCUGGGGAUUCGGUUAACCGAUUUCUAGCGCCAACACACGCCAUCUUGGGACGGCCAUGCUACGCCAAGUUCAUGGCCAUCCCCAUUUACACCCAGCUCAAGCUCAAGCUGUCGGGGCCCAACAGGGUCAUCACCGUCGGCAUGUCUUUCUAGAAGGCGUACGAGUGUGAUGUUGAGUGUUACGAGUACGCCUCGGCCAUCACUUGCUCGGAGGACCACGCGGUCCGGCUUGCGGAGGGCGCUGAGGACCUGCCCGACUCCAAGCAAUCCUCCACCUCCUUCGAGGCCACAGAAGGCAUGAAGGAGGUCCCCCUCGACCCCAACGGCUGCGACGGCAGGACGGUGCGGAUAGGCGCGGCCCUAUCUCCCAAAUAGGAAAGCACGCUCGUCGACUUCCUCCGCGCAAAUAGCGACAUUUUUGCGUGGAAACCCUCGGACAUGCUAGGCAUCUCGAGGGAAGUCGCCGAGCACUCCUUGAACAUCAAGGACGGCUCCAAACCAGUGAGACAAGGCUUGCGCCGCUUCGACGAGGAGAGGCGCAAGGCCAUCAGUGAGGAGCCCCAGUAGCUUUUGGCAGCCAGGUUCAUCAAGGAAGUGCACCACCCUGAGUGGUUAGCCAAACCUGUUCUUGUAAAAAAGAAGAAAGGGAAAUGGACAAUGUGUGUUGACUAUAUGGGUCUCAACAAAGCGUGCCCAAAGGAUCUAUUUCCUUUGCCAUGCAUAGAUCAAGUAGUCAACUCAACCGCAGGGUGCGAAACCCUUAGCUUCCUCGACGCGUAUUCCGGUUACCACCAAAUCAUGAUGAAAGAGUCCGACCAGCUCGCGACCUCUUUCAUCACCCCUUUCGAGCCCUACUGCUACGUCACGAUGCCGUUCGGGCUAAAAAAUGCGGGGGCUACAUACCAGUGAUGUAUGCUCAAGUGUUUUGGGGACCUCAUCGGGCGAAUCAUUGAGGCCUACGUGGACGACAUCGUGGUCAAGUCCAAGAAAGGCGACCAGCUCAUCCCGACCUUGAGCUGGCCUUCGAAAGGCUGAGAGACAAGCGCAUCAAACUCAACCUCGAAAAAUUCAUUUUUGGGGUGUCAAGGGGCAUGCUGCUCGGCUUCAUCGUCUCCGUGCGCGGCAUCGAAGCCAACCCGAAGAAGACAUCGGCCAUCACCGAUAUGGGGCCGAUCCAAAACCUGAAGGGAGUGCAGCACGUCACGGGAUGCCUUGUGGCCCUGAGCUGUUUCAUCUCACACCUCGGCGAAUGAGGACUCCCCCUAUACCGACUCCUUAAGAAGACUGACCACUUCGUGUGGACCGCCGAGGCCUAGGAGGCGCUUGACCGGCUCAAGCAAAUCCUGACGAAGGCCCUAAUCCUGGUCCCACCGACCGACGGGGAGCCACUCCUGCUUUACAUUGCGGCGACCACCCAGGUGGGCAGCGCCGCUCUAGUGGUGGAGCGAGAGGAGGAGGGACAUGCCCUCAAGGUGCAACGCCCGAUGUACUUCAUCAGCGAGGUCCUGUCCGACUCCAAGACCCGCUACCCCCAAAUCCAAAAGCUCAUAUAUGCAGUCCUCAUCACAAAGAGGAAACUCACCUCCUACCUGGUGACGGUCGUGUCAUCAUUACCCCUCGGUGAAGUGAUCCGGAAUCAGGAUGUCACAGGCGGAUCACGAAGUUGGCGCUCGAGCUUAUGGACCAGGGCAUCACCUACGCCACCCGGACAACCAUCAAGUCCCAGGUACUCGCUGACUUUGUUGCGGAAUGGACAGAUAUCAAGAUGCCAUCAGCACCAAAGAAGCAGGAGUACUGGACAAUGUACUUUGAUGGGUCGCUGAUGAAAGCUUGCGCCGGAGCGGGCCUAUUCUUCAUUUCCCCCCUCGGCGUACGGAUGGGGUACAUGAUCCGCCUCUAUUUUCCCACGUCCAACAAUGUCGCCAAGUAUGAGGCUCUUCUCAAUGGGCUUCGCAUCACCAUCGAGCUGGGCAUCUGCAGCUGCACAUCCGAGGUGACUCCCAGUUAGUCGUCGAACAAGUCAUGAAGGAGUAGAGCUGCCAUGAUUCCAAGAUGGCGGCAUACUACAACGCGGUCCGCUAGCUCGAGGACAAGUUCGACGGUCUCGAGCUCAACCACGUCGUGAGACGCUUCAACGAGGCAGCUGACGAGCUGGCAGAGGCAGUGUCCGGCCGGGGGCUAGUCCCUAAUGGCGUCUUUAUCAGUGACCAGCGUAAGCCCUUGAUCCGCUACAAGGAGCCAGGAGAGGUCGGCAAAGCGCCACCAGUCCUGGACUCGGGAGCCGACCCUUCGGACCCCGAGGUUAUGGAGAUCGACACAGAUCCAGCAGAGGGGACCGACCCCCUGCUCGACUGGAGAGCCCCGUACCUCGAUUACCUCAUCCAUGAGUUGCUCCCAACGGACAAGAUAGAGGCGCGAAGGAUCGCUCGCCGUCCCAAAUCCUUCAUCGUCAUUGACCAAGAGCUCUACAAGCGGAGCCAUACCGGCAUCCUGCAACGCUGCAUCCCGAUCGAGCAAGGAAAGGCGUUACUCCAGGAAAUCCACACUGGAGCCUACGGCCACCACACCGCACCAAGAACCCACGUCGGGAACGUCUUCCGACAAGGUUUCUAUUGGCCGACGGCGGUCGCUGACGCCACCCGUGUGGUGUGCACCUGCGAAGGGUGCCAAUUCUUCAUGCGACAAACUCAUCUGCCUGCCCAGGCACUCCAGACCAUCCCCAUCACAUGGCCCUUCGCGGUGUGGGGACUGGACCUCAUCGGGCCCUUCAAGAAAGCGCCCGGGGGCUUCACCCACCUGCUGGUCGCUGUCGACAAAUUCUCAAAGUGGAUCGAGGCUCGACCGAUCACGUAGAUCAAGUCCGAGUAGGCGAUGCAAUUUGUCACCGACAUCAUCCAUGGCUUUGGAGUCCCUAACUCCAUCAUCACGGAUAACGGCACGCAGUUCACCGUGAAGAAAUUCCUCAAGUUCUGCGAUGAUCACCACAUCGGAGUGGACUGGUCGGCUGUAGCGCAUCCCCGCAUGAAUGGACAGGUUGAGCGGGCCAAUGGCAUGAUACUCCAGGGUCUCAAGCCACGGAUCUUCGACCGCAUCAACAAGUUCGGUGGCCGAUGGGUUGCGGAGCUCCCCGUGGUCCUAUGGAGCCUGAGGACAACCCCCAGUAGGGCAACCGGCUUCACCCCGUUCUUCAUGGUCUAUGGGUCCGAGGCAAUCCUCCCCACCGACCUGGAGUAUGGGUCGCCGAGGGUCAAAGCGUACGACAAACGAGGGAACCAAGCAUCCCUCGAGGACACGCAAGACCAGCUCGACGAAACGCAUGACGUGGCCCUGCUGCACUCGGCCAAGUACCAGCAAGCUUUGCGACGGUAUCAUAGCCAUAAGGUACGGGGUCGGGCCUUCAACGUCGGCGACUUGGUGCUUCGCCUCGUCCAAAGCAACAAGGGUCGGCACAAGCUGACCCCAGCAUGGGAAGGUUCGUUCAUCGUCGCGCAAGUACUGCGACAACGCACGUACAAGCUAGCGACCCUUGACAGGCAGGUCUUCACCAACACUUGGAACAUCGAACAGCUAAGACGUUUCUACCCUUAACUAUUAUUUCCAAGUUUGUGCAUACAUACUUCCGUCAUCUUUUUGUUUGUGAAAAAAGGGGUGUUUUGAGUUGCUUUCGCUAAAGUUUCAUUCCAAGCAUAGGGAUAUCCGACCCUGGCUCUGACCCAGGGUUGCAUAUCCCUCGAGGGCUGUCAAGGGCUUCGACCCAAGAUGCUUGGCAUUCCCUCAAAACACCAUUUUUUCCAAACUGACCCUCUUCCUAACGGUGCCUUUGCCCAUCGGCGUGUCCCGACAUGCUCGACUCACAGUCUGAAAUUUUCAAACCCAAAAAAUAGAAAGAGGAUCGAAAACUUUUUUGAAAAAAUCACAUAAAUAGAAAAGCCUCUAUGGUCAUCGCAAAAGCAAGUUCGAAAUUACUUAACUUAUUUACAUAUUUUUGGGCAACUUAGCCCGACACAGCUAGCUCGUCCCCAGGUCCUCUGGCGGGAUGGCCUUAUCCUCUAGGAGCUGCACCAAGGCCUUCGCUGGAUUAAGCACCGACGCAUCGAUCUCGUCCAGCUCGGCCUCGGAGUAGCCGGAGGUGUAGCCCCCGCUCAUCGCAUCGAAGUUGAUGUUGGAGUAGUGAGAGCCGAAGACACCGAAGGCCCGCCUCACACCAAUGUGGAGCGCCUCCCGAGCAAUCUCACGGGCUCGCCGGUACGUCCCGAGGACGCGAGCUGCCAGCGUGCUCAUCUCCUCCUCUUGGACCACAUUAAGGUCCUCGCAGACGAUGCGGAUGGCGUCCCGUAGGUUGGCAUUCUCAGCGCGCUCCGCAUCGGUGGCGUCUCUCAGCCGGGCGAGGUCGCCCUCAAGACCUACCCAGAAAAGCCCGCUAGGUCAGAAACCAGCACAAUGCUAUAAGCAAGAGGACAACAAAAGCCUUACCCUCAGAUUGGGCUCUCAGUAGAUGUUUCUGGUCGACCCCUUGGGCCAUAGUGGUCUGAAGCCCCUGCACCUACGACUAGAGCCGACUGACCUUCACCCCAAGGUCGGCCGCCAUCUUCUUGGCUUCAACCUUCCGGCCUGCCUCGAGGUCACGUUCCCGGCAGGUCGCAUCACGCUCCUGGCGAGCCGCGUAUCGCUCGUGCCGGAUGCGCUUAAUGGGUUUCUGAAAGGCCUCAUGCUCCUUCCUCAACCGUGCAAGCUCCUCGGCGUCAUGACAGGCCUUCUUGGCAGUGGCCCGGAGCUUGUCCUCCGCCCUCCGCGCGCCUUCCCGCGCCUCCUGCUCCCGUGCUCGCAGGUCUGCGGCAUUCUACUGGGUGGUGGCGAGCUGCCCGGUCAGCUCCCCGGUCCGCCGCCUCUCCAUGGCAAGGUGCUCCCAGACCCCCCGCUCGCGCCGGAGGAACUCGGAGUUCCCCCAGCUGCAUUUCUGGAGGGCCUACAGAAUGAUUUACACUCAGGAAUCGUCUGGAGAAGAAAGCAACGAAAAAAUCGAAGGAAAAAUAACCACCAAAGAGAACACCAUACCUGAUCGGCGGGAACAACAACGCCGUCCAACUUCCCCAUCGUGGAAGACAAGACGGCAGGGACGUCAUCAAGUCCGCCCUACACCUCUUGCCACCUUUUCCGUUCCCCGACAUCGUCCAGCAUGAAGCGGGGCCUCUGCGGGUCCUCACAGGACAUUCAGUGCACGAUCGGCCCUCCCCACAUGUUGGGGUCACAACCCAGCGGGAUGAGGGCACGGAAAGACUCUCUGACCAGCCCCAUCGCUACCACCGAGUCAGGCGCCGCCGUCCCCUAAGCAGGCAUGGCCGUCUCCGUCGUUGCUGCCGGAGGAGGCACCACUGGCUCCAUCGCCGCCGCCGGACCAGGCGUCACCGUCUCCGUUGUCACCGACGGGGGAGGCACCACCAUCUCCGCCACAACCGCCGUCUCCAUUGCCAUCGCCGCCGCCUCCACAACUGGCGCCUGGGGCACUGGCGCCACAAUCACCGGCUCCUCCUCCACCUCGUCAUCCCUGUAUCACCUCCUUGGGCGGAGGAACCCUAGGGGUAGUAUCUUAUCCUGCGGUGUCGGCCGCGAGGGCAGAAGACGGGACAGGGGUCGACUGGUCCGGUGGCGACUGCCCCGUGCCCAACUGCGGCACCACGGGCUCACCGACGAGACCACCGCUCGGUCCCGGCGGGGUCAUGGUUGGCCCCGCGAAGGUAGCUGAUACCUAGAGCACCUUCUUCAGCACCAGCGGUAGGACGAAGCCGCGCGGAGCAGCGCUACGAGAUGACGACAACUUCAUCAAAAAUAGCUCGACGCCAAAGAAUAAGGUACGCAGAAACUUUCCACCUACCUUGCCGCAGUAAGAGGACGACGGGCGCGCUUCACCCCCGAGCUCGACGCCGACCCCGAGACAUCCGAUAGCAGCCGCUUGCCGCUACCCCUCUUUUCGUGCGACGUAGGCAGAGGGUCGGGGGUCGGUCCCAUCAAUUCCUGAGGCACGCCCCUCCCUAACCCCUAGGGCGCGGCCUCCAACCCCCGCGGGGUCGGGCCCUGGGCGGGCGGUCCGCCCAACACGUCCUUCGCAGAUGGUUGAGGGGGCUGGUCCCGGAUGACGAGCGCGCCCGGCACGACGGUCGAGACAUAGUCCUCCUCCUCCUCCUCCUCCUCCUCCUCCUCGUCAGUCUCAUCUUCAUCAUCCUUAUCAUCCUCAACAUCGUCAUCGUCCGUCAUGACCGUGCCGCUCCACCGCCAUUGGAACUCCUUCGUGGCCCUCUUCCUCUUCCUCGUUGUCUCCUUGUCCUUCCUCCUCUUCUGCUUUUCGGUAAGGAGGCGGUUCUGCUGCCGCCGUGCUAUGUCCUCUGGCAUAGGCGAGCGCGAGGCUACAACCUGGUUCAGUUCGCCCUGCAGAUUCAAAGACUCCGCGUCAAAAUGACAAACCAGGGAAUAUAGGAAAGAAGAAUGAGAGUGCAAAAUUCUCACCAGCAGGAUGAAGCCUUCGUCCGGGCGCAUCGGAGGGUGGUCCAGCACUGGGUAAACAACGUCCCUAUCAUCCAGCGCCUCCCGGAUGUGCUGCUCGAUCUCAGUGUCGGCGAGCACACCCGUCGCAAUGACGGUGCAAUCAGUCACCGCGCCAGGAACCAUAUCGCCGAGUGCGCGGGCCUGGAGCAUCAAUGGCGCCACCCUCCGAGCGUGGUACACCCCGAUAACUCCGUCCCCGGUCAGGCCCUCCUCCUUCAAGCGAUUGAUGGACUAAAGAAGACCGGCGAUGUUCCUCUUCUUCUUCUCAACCAGACAAUAUGUCCAGUUGUUCGGCACCGCCUCGAUGACGCGGCCAGUGAAAUCCGGCAAGGGGGACUCGGGGCAGUUCUUCACGUAGAACCACUGCUGGUGAAACCCCUUCUAGAACAGCGCGGUCUUCAUCGCCAUGUAUUCCUUGGCGCGGUUCUAGCGGAGGUGGAUGACGGCGCACCCCAUUGGCAUUGGAACCGCCUGCACCUGGAUCCCCCUCUUCUCGAUCUUAUGAUGCAGGCUGACCGUGAAGAAGUAUUUCCAGAGCAAAAUGUUGGGCUCGAUCCCCACGUACCCCUCGCACAGCGCGACGAACGCCGCGAUGUGCUGGAUCUCGUUGGGGUUGAGGUGCUGCAGCUCGAGCCCGUAGUAAUGCAGCAGCCCGCGGAAGAAGUGGCUCGACGGAGUCACGAACCCCCUCUCAUGGAAGUGCGCGAACGAGACGAUGUAUCCGUCAUCUGGCUGCGGCGCAUCCUCCCUCCCGGGGUACCGCCACUUGUUCUUGGCGGUCCUCUUGCAGAGGAGGCCCUUCUUCACGAGGCUGGUGGCGCGCGGGGUGUUGAAGCUCGAGUGCAGCCAGGACUCCAUCGCUGAGGGAAGGGAAGGCUCAACGGUGGGGGUGGAGAAGGCUGCUGCGUUGGAGCGAAGGGAGGUGAAAAUUGCGCAAGAAAGCAAGAAAGGCUGGAGACGGGUGCAGGGCAGAACCAGUGAGAUGGACUCCCUCGUCUUAUAGGGGGGUGUGCAGGAAGCGAAAAAGGCAAUCCAAUCACUGUUAUUGCAACGCUAGGUACACCCGUCACCCCCGCCUUUUUUGGAAACUAUGCGCACAAUCUCUUCCUGCUGCAGGGAACGUCUCCCCUCCUCGUUUCAUGGGCCCGGUGUUUUUCGCCACUUCACCUCCUAGAGGAUGCACGCGCAUGACUUCCUCCACGUACAACCCGAGGCCCACCAACAAGUGAAAAAGGGAUACGAAGCUGAAAACGCUCCUCCGACCCAUUACGGUCCAGGGGUUCAAAGGCUGGCUCACCGCAGGGUUCGACAGUCGCCCCAGGACGCUCUCAAGCAAGGGGUGAGAAGGGACAGGUCCGCUAGCAGCCAUCACCCAGGCGAGCGAAAGCCAAGGGCAUCCCGACCUCACGUUCGAGUCCGGACUGGCGUUUAAGUUCAUGGUUUUUCCCCGAAGAAAGGCAACGAGCCCCCGGAUCCAACCGAACGGACUCGGGAACUAUAUGAACUGGCCAUCCGGAAUCUAGAGUACGCCACCAGCUUGGCCAGAGCCGGAGUCCCCCGAACGGGGACUAGGACUCCACUCAAACUGACCCGUUCGCAGCUUAAUGAGCACCACGGUUCGUCCAACGAGGAUAAUGUGGCACGGCUCACCCCCUCCAUCCCAGCGAACGAACGCUUGAGGGGUAACGAUCAAAAGUCGAUCCAACCUCUCGAUCAGUCUCCUGCAACGCGCAGGGACUCGGGGGCUAGCAUUGCAACCAAACAACCACGCGUAUGGUCACAAUUUGGAGUCUUGGAGCAGGAGUGGUCGUCGGAACGAUUGGGAAUCUUCCCGAGCCGAGCCAUCCUCGGAACACCCUGCCUACCUAAAACUUCCUGGCCAAACCAAACGAGCGAAACUUUUUCUCCCCGAUCAAAUGUAGGUUGCAGAACAAACCAAAAUCCUUGGCGAACGACGAAUACAGCCUCUGGAGGAGCAUUUUUGCUCCACCAAAGGCUCGGGGGCUACUGUUAGGGGAAAUAUCAACGACUUCCUUAUUUUUCUUAAAUGACGAUCAUAAGGGCCCGGACCCACCUCCAGCAACAGUGACCUCUGCUGACUCAGCCCGACCCCCGGGUCACGGGGUCGGACGCGCUCGACCCCCCGAGGCCGCUCCUCUUCCCAGCUGAGAGUGUUCCGCCUCGCCCGACCCCCGAGCAAGAGGUGUCGUCCGACUCCUCGCGGUAGGUCUCUGCCUCGCCCGAACAAGGGCGCAAGGGGUCGAACGCGCCUGACCCCUUGUCGCAAGGCUCCGUCUCGCCCGACCCCGGGCACAAGGGGUCCGACGCAUCCGGACCCACAAGACAGAGCUCCGCCUCGCCCUAGGACAUGCGCGGACCCGCAGACGAGGGCGCAGAUCUUGUGGGCCCCCACCAAUCUUGCCAUAAAUGCCACCGAUGGGGCGCGCUUGACCGGAACACGGAUCUGACACACGUUCCACGAUGUGACCCGCCAGAGUUUUCGGGCGGCGCACUGCUGCCACGACUGCACAUGGCUACAACUGCACCGUCCUACCCCUCCCCCGUGGCAUUCGUCAUAGGGUACUCUCGCCCAUGUUCCAAGGUGCGCCGCCCGGUUUCCCGCUUAGCUUGGCGGUAGGGGUGAGUCAGCCGCGCCUCCCAGACAGCGUACGUGGCAACAGUGGUCGCCCGUCAUCCCUGACGUGCACAGUUAUGGUGGCCAGUCGUCAUCAUCAGCUCGUACAGCUACAGUGGACAGUCGCCAAGCACGUCUCGCAUGCUCGGCUAUAGUGGCCGACCGCCGGGUCUUCGAUGGGACCCCACGGCAACCCCGGUGGCUCGACCUGUCUCCCCGUACUUUACCUCUCAGGCUUUAUCUUUUUUACUUCCCCUAACUCCCGGCUGGAUUGUAACUCCUGUGUCCUCCUUACGCUAUAAAAGGAGAGCCAGGGGGGCCGAGAAGGGGACGGCUUUCAAGCGAACCGAAUGAGCCCCAACUGACAACCCUUUUACGCGAGCAUCAAUACACACCCACAGAGACUUGGUACCACCUUCCCUCUCUCGCCCGUUUGUAACCCCUACCACAAACUUGGCACGAGUAACAUGAGCAGCCUCCCACACUGGACGUAGGGCUAUUCCUGCCCGAACCAGUAUAAAUCCCGUGUCCUCUCGUGCAACCAUCCGAGCUUUACGCGCAUAGAAACAAAUUUACUUGCCGGAGUCUUGACCCGUGGUUCUUGGCAACGACACCCAGUAUACUAAAAGGCUUCCGUGUCCCCCUAAAUUUGAACCCGGUACUUACGCUAACAUUAGUACCGGGUCAAAAUACAACCGGCACUAUGACCGAGAACAAAUGCUCAUAUUUCUAGUAGUGUAUAAGGAGACCUUGACGUAAUUUAAUUUUGCAACACUAUCUUGUAUUACUGUGCAUGUUUGAAGCUUGUCGCAAUUGCAACGCAUCAGUUCGCAUUUUUAUGUGGAAAUGCAGCCAUAGAUUUUUGAAAAGGCCGGAAUAAUUUAGUAGAAAAAGGUAUAGUACAAGAAUUAUACUUCAUUGCAGCGUUUGUAUUAAUUAUCAUCGGAACGUUGGCACACUUAGGUAAUGCGUAGGAGAACUGUACGAGUGCAUAGAAAUUAUCGAGACUGGAAAUUAUGAUUGAUUAUAUUCUUCUUGCACGGAAACUAGAAGGAAAUUGCGGUUUCUCGUCGUCGUUGCAGUCCUGGACGGCAGCAGGUAAAAAGCAAGCAAUAAUGCCUGCUUCGGUCAAGCAAAUGAUUUACUUAUUUUAUUCUUUUCUUACGCCUGGAAAACAGUUUAGUAUAGGGUGCACCACGUACCGGAUGACGAAUUGAGAUUGUACGCGUAUGGUGUAAUAUCCCCCGAAUCUGAUGCAGAUACCAGACAAGACUAAUAGUAUACGCCCUACGCUGCUGACUGCACCGGUUAUCGUGGAUUGAGGAGGCUAGCUAACUACUCCGUCCGAUCUGAAUUACUAUUUAUUUUAACUUUUCUAGAUACGUAGUUUUUAAUAUGCACCUUGAUAUAUAUUAUAUCUAGAUAUAUAGUUAAAGUUAUAUAUCUAAAUAAGCUAAAACGAAUAGUAAUUUGAGACGGAAUUAGUAGUUUUCGAUCCAGAGAGCAGUAGGCCCGAGAGAUUUUACAACUUAAUUAAGGUUCUAUUUCAAAGACGUAGAACCCCGAGAAACUUUUUAACAUUUCGGAGAAUAUAGAGAGGAGGGACUUUUUAACAAACUCCCUCCAUCCCAAAUUAUACAUAGAAAAGAUAAAAAAAUAAUUUACAAUUUAAAACGGAGGGAGUACUUAAAAAAAUACAGCACAUGAUUUGUUUUUGAAUUAUUAGGAAUGUAACAAAUUUAUAAGGUUAAUUAUUUUUCUUGUUCUAGAAUAAUUUAAAUUUUGUGAGCACAUGAACAUGAAUUAUUAUUGAUAAAUUAAAAUUUUCAUUUGAAAAACUUCAGUAAUAGUUAAUUAUCACUAUUUGAUCCAAUUUAUGGCUCCUCAGCUAUAGUGACUUUACCACUAACCAUUCUUAAUUGGUACAAUCAUUGUGUAUAACUGUUUUGAUUAUUAUAAUGGAUAAUCACUACUAUUGCAACUUACCUGUGAUUGUUUCGUUUCGUUAGUGCACACAUUCCUAUCCAACCCGGCCCACUAUACCCACAAGUCAAUGCGCUACCAAGACGAGCUCGUACAAAUUAAGGUCUUGGGUUCAACUCAACCUUAAAGACUUAUAUGAUGUAUGCGCGUUGCCUAGUCUUAUAUGUUGCAAUUCGCCACUGUUAAUUUCUAACGUGGGACUAAACCUAACAAUCUUCCCCGCCACACAUUAGGACGAAGUCUUCCAUCAAGGAAGCUAUGUAAUCUCCUGGCUGAUGUUAUUUUCAAAUAUCGAGUCCAACUCUCUAAUCACGCAAGACACUGUGUGAUCCUUUCGACGCUCGCUCAUUUGCUAACCUUUAGCUCUGAUAUCAUUGUUGUAGUGUGCAACCUAUUUCUGCUCAGCCCACUAUACCCAUGAGCCAACUAGUCAAGGUCAACAUGAGCCUGCAACAACCAAGCCUAACUUAACUACAAAGACGAGCCUGAUGUGUGAGAGGUGCCCCACUUUGUAUGUUGUUCUCCUCCCCCACAGUCAAUUUUAGGUGAGGAAUUAGGUCUAGGACGUUUAAAAAUGUUAGAAUUCUCACAAAAAAUUGUGAUAAAUUGCAAUGUUGAACAUAUGGUCAAAUAUUUUCAUUAGGGGUAAGUUACCACAUGACACUGAGCUUUGCUGGUACUCCUAUUCCGCACAAAGUUUUCACUAAUUAGACAUUGGGGAUUUGUGUUCUAGACCCUGUUUCGAAGUGUAGUUGUGAUUUUACCCUCAACCAUUCACAAGUUCAUGUAAUUUUACUCUCAGUCAAUGUCAAAAUAUGGGCAAAUAUGCAAAGAUCACCGGCAAAAUCCCGUGAACCUGUGAAUAUUUUAGGGUAAAAUCAAAAAGUUAAAAAAAAGGGUAAAAAUACAAUUGCACUUAAGAGUUGGGGCAAGAUAAAAAAAAACCUUUUAACCGCAGUAUUGGAAAAUAUUAUCCAUGAGACCAUUAUAUUUGCAGCUGCAUUUUGGCUCUGCUGGAUCAUUGUAACUGUCACUAAAGAGAAAAAUCAAGAAACAUAGUCGCAAUUUGAAAUUGAUAAUUGUUGAUGUAUUUCGAAUCCACAAUGCAGGUAGGAGGUCCUAUCCCAUUACAGUUGUUGUGCUGGAUAUUAAUAAGUUCUCUGAACAAGAUAAGCAUGGUAACAACAAAUUCACCAUAAUGGUGGUCGCCCGAACCUACUGUGAUGAAAGUGAAUUAACUAUGUAAUAUAGGUUUUAAUACAAGAUGCAUAGCAAAUAUGCCUGUUUCCACGGUUAGGGAGAAAGACACUCACCAAAUGCUCAUAUGUGAUAUCUUGUUAGUCGUUGUUGGUCAAGAGCCGUGAAAGAACGAUUUUCUUCAAUACUUCAUAACACAAGCCGUAAAAAAUGAUUUUUCUGUCACAGAUCAUCAUGAUCAGACUUACCAUAAAUGAUUUAGAGAAUCUCUAAAGCUUUAAAAUAAUAUUUUCUGAACUGCCAAAGAUAUCUCAGUGGUGAAAGAAAUUAGUCCCCAUAUAGCCUACGAGGAAUUACUGCUAGAUGGUCGACUUCUAGUAUCCGUCGAGAAGGUCGACUUCUAGUAUCCGUCGAGAACCUCCAUUUAGUACCAGACAGGUGACCGGUACUGCUUUUAUCCAAUACCAAAUACGCUAUUUAGUACCGAUCGGUAACACCAACCAGUACUAAAUAACUUUGCACCCAAAUAAUAAAGAAAAAAUGAAUGAACAGCAGAGAGGCCUCCACACACGCACAUUGUCACAAGUCACGCGAAUUUCACGCGUAAUAAUAUGUGUGCGCAGUCCGUGGAAAAUCGAACUCACGACCUUAAGCCUCACGUGAACCUUCCCUAUCAUCUCACCUACACAGCACAUGUGAUGAACUUAGAUAUACUUUCCUUUUGAAGUAUCCCGUGGAGUAACUAGUAUCCGUUCGUGUUAUUGCCCAGUACUAAAUGGUACUCCACGGGAUACUUGAGUUAUUGACCUGUACUAAAUGGUCCAUGCAUUAGUAGCAGGCCAUAACACCAACUAGUACUAAAGUUUGACAUUUAGUACCGGGUGAUGUUUUGAUCCGGUACUAAAAGGUCUUCGAGGACUGAAAAUUUAGGCACGGUACUAAUUCUGCAUGUUAGUAUCGGACCGUCCGGUACUUAAUGUGUUGGACAAAUGUUCAGUUUUCUUGUAGUGUGUGGGUUCAAAUUCAAAUCGCUAUGUUUAGGUAACUGAAUUGGUCCAUAUUAGCCGGCUAGAUUAUAUGAAGUAUAUGUAUGAGCCAGUGUUAAAUAACACUGGUACAUUUAGUUAAAGAAACCUGUGGUAUACCUGCGCAGGUAUGUUUAAUUACUAUAUGUGCCGGUGUAAGGUUCGAAAAGACUUAACACACCGGUCUGUUUUUAAUUAACCAAAACGUAAGAACCAAUGCGUAUGACGGUCUCUACGGUAGCGAGGAAGACGAACAGAGUGGAGAGAAGUCAGCAAUGGCCGAUAGAGUAUACAACUUUUAGCAUACUUAUCAAGUACAUAUGCUAAAGCUCCUGGUUUUGGCAAAAUCUCAGGUAGCAAGCCAAGUUACUGUAGCGCUCACCUUAGACUGACAGAUGGACCAACAGCGACGGGUUGACGUCCACCAAUUUCUCAGUUCCGUAAUCGGCUAAUCCCGUACGGCUUCUCCACAUGGGCCAGUUCUGCUUCCUUCCGGGGCGACGGGAUCGGCGCUGAGCAAACUGGGCAAACUAGGCAAAGGCGCGAAGGCCCAUGCAUGACAGGAGGUGCCUCUAUGCGACGGCGCGGAGGCCGUGUGCUGCAGCUGAUGCUGCGGCCGACGAGCGGCAAGCCGACAGGACCUCUCCCUGGCAGCCAUACUACCGGCAUGGCCGUUCUGGCCGUUCUACCUGCUUCCUACCACCACGCUAUGGCACUUAAACUGAAUGCCCCCUUCUACCCUGUGUCUUGCACAGAACAAUUCACCAUUACUUUUGUCUUUGUGCCUCAUGUAUAUCAUCAAUUGCACCAACGUCAAAGAAGUUAAGAUCAUAUAUUAUUCGGUUCUUCUUCCAAAUCUAAGGCUAUAUAUUACAAACUAGUAUGGGACCUCCUUAAUCUUGGAGAUCAUGAUCAUUUCUGCCCUAUAGUGCUUCCACAAAUUGCCACGGAGAAUCUUGCUAAAGGAAGACGUACCAUCCAAUACAGAGCAUUGACAGUUUGCCACACCAAGGUUAACUUCAUCGUAUUAUACAGCAAGGAAAAUAUAUUAAUGCAUUUAUACAUCUUGAUUUUCCAUACAAAUAAAUCACAAAGUACCUCAACUACUUGCUUUGAAUACAUUCUUUUCUGCAACCUAAAAUACCAAAGUACAGAUGUCAGUUCAUUGUUUUAUUUAUGUUUGCUACCUGCUGUAUAGUUCAUGUACUGUUACAAAGGAGAAACGAAACGUUCAGAACACUCAAUGACUGAAUUGUAUGCACGAAAAGCAAAUAACUCAAAUUUGCUGACCUAUUACUACAGCUGCUGAAGCAGAUCUUCUGUUCCGAUUACUGAACUCUAUAUACUUCCUCAUAAAAAAUUCCAUGCUUGUACUAUAUGUAGUUUUCUUACUUCAUGUUGCAAAUAAACACUACAUGGCUACUAAUAUGUGAUGUUACUAAAUGAAAUUUAAUUUUAGCAAUUUCCCAAUAAUCCAUAGAGAAAAAAUAAGGGUGGUGCGGCAAUGCGCGCCUAUCCACUACUCAAUUCUAUUCUGGAUGACAUUUCUGUUUUCAUCUUGUAAGGCAAGGAGUCAGUUCUGGUCCACUUGUUCCCGAGUUGAGUUUAAUUAUCUAGUUUCCUAAAUUAAUCAUCUUGUAAGCUGGACUCUCAUCAUGGUCUCAGUUAGAUAGCAAAUUAAACACGGAGGCUGAGACAUUAGUUAUAUCCUCGUAAUUUCAGAGAAUUGGAUGCUAAAUCUAACAAUGUAACGAGCUAGGUUUUCUUGUAUGAUUUUUCAAUCUGGAUUCAAAGCGGAGCAGCUAACCUAGCUAUACUUAAAGUGAAAAUCCGCUGAAGCAAUAUUAGCUGUUGCGCCGGCGAUGGAACAUGUCCUCUUUGCACAGUCCAUGCGCAUCGCCUAUCAGAUUAACUGGGACAUGGUCCUCGACGUGCUGGUGACCGGCUUCACAGUCGCGAGGACAAGGUACACCGGCUACACAAGAGCCCGUGCGUCUGUUGCUGGGACUCCAACCCAAUGUCGCUGCACCCGAGCCACCGCAGCAGCCGGAAAGGAAACGGACUGCAAUAUACCAAUAUAGAACCUAUGAAAUGAGAACCUCUAAAAAAAUCAUAAAAGCGACAACAUCAAUAUAGACGCUAAGCAACCAUACUGUUUUCAAAAAAACAUAAAUAACUAUACAAGAAUAAUAAGCUGAGAAACCCGUAGCAACGCACGGUCAUUUCUACUAGUGCAAAAUAAAAUUAAAGGCCAUUGGCAAACAAUGAAAUCAUUAGAGGCCCAACUUAGAGCCCAGCCUAAGUUUUAGUUAAUAGGCCCAGCAAGUCAUCAACCGCAAGGCUUCUAGAGAAAACACAUUGCCAUCAUUGCUCAAUUUCAUUCGGAAAACGGUUGCAGCCCACCAGAAUGGCUAGAAUUGGCCAGAAUUGAUCCGGGUUGUUCAUGCUGUUUUCUUGACGGAGCGGAAGGUUCCUGCAACGCUAGCUGCUUGCGGUGCGAAAUGAAAUGAAAUUUACAUGUAAUUUGGUAGAGCUCUGUUCCAUUAACUAAAGGGACUACCAUCUGACGGCUUAUUCAAUCCACCCAAUUUCAGCCCUAGGAAAAUUCGGGACUAUUUAGCUUUCAUAUGAACCAUUUUUAAACAAGUUUGUUUGAAUUAACAUAAUUUCAUAUAAUAUUGGUAUGAAAUAAAAAUUGUCCUUAGAUAUGCAACAAAUUUUCUCAUGUUUGGCUGACUAUUCUGAAAAUGAUGUGCUAGGAAACUGAGGGCAAGUUAGCAGGGCGUGUCAUCACUACUGCUUGCUGAAUGUCCUGCCGUGACUCACAAUGGCAUAUAAUUGUUAGAUAACGUGGUAUGUAACAAACCUUUGUAUGCGGCAAGCUGUUAGGAUUGUCUGUUAGUUGUGCGUAUAGUUAGAGAUAGAGUUGUAGUAUAUCUUGUACUCUCAACAACUAACAGCCAAUGCCUAGAGACUUGCACGCCAAGCUUGUGAUCCACAUGAGGGGAGUUUCCUUGCCCUAUUUAACACGAAGCCGCCGGCCAGGGAGAGGUACGGCAUUCCACUCAUUCUUCCUUGCGCCUCUGUUUGCUUUCAAGGUAAUCAAAGCCACAACAACAGAUUAGAUUAGAUCCAUGUCAGCUUCCUCCUCCACUGCCAUCAUGAAUCCCCCUAUUGGCAUCAUCAUCACCGAGAAGUUAUCGAAGAACAACCACGGCGUGCAGGUCCUCACCGCCAUUCGAGGAGCGCGUCUGGUGGGGCACCUCACCGGUGUCGCCACAACUCCUGCAGCCGUGAACGACGGCAAGGAGGGUGACAAGAUAGUCAAGGUCGCCAAUCUGGCGUACGAAGAGUGGUACACCACAGAUCAGCAGGUGCUUGGCUUCGUUCUCGCCUCGCUGACCAAAGAAGUUCUUCCCCAAGUGUCGGCCAAAGAGACUGCAACAGAGUUGUGGAUGGCCAUUGAGGCGAUGUUCAUGUCUUGAACGAAGGUGCGCGCCCUCAACACUCGCCAUGCUCUUGCAACUGCCUAGAAGGGUGAUCAAUCUGUUAUGGAGUAUGUGGGCAAGAUGAGGACUCUAGGUGACGAGAUGGCCACCGCUGGAAGACCUCUUGAAGAUGCUGAGCUCAUGGAAUACAUCAUCAUGGGCCUUGAUGAGUUCUUCAAUCCAAUUGUCUCUGCUCUAGUGGCAAGAAUGGAGAGCAUGUUUGUAGACGAUCUAUACUCUCAACUGCUCGCCUUCAAAACCCUCACAGAGAUCAUCAGCGGGGAUGGCGGCUUUGGUUCACCUGCCAAUAUGGCAAACCAGGGUGGUCGAGGUGGCCAUCGAGGCCACGGUGGCUAUGGCCAUAGAUAUGGCAACGGGCACUGUGGACACAGCAAUGGAGGCAACUACACCGACAAUGGCAGCAACAACAACAAUUCCUCACACCAGAACACUGGCGCGGGGCUUGGCUGCUUCAACAACUAACGUGGCUGCAACAACAGCAGCUCCUCAUGCCCUACGUGCCAGGUUUGUUUGAAGGUUGGCCAUACUGCAGAUCAUUGCUGGCAGGUUUGAAGAAGACUAUGUGCCCGAAGAACACGAUGUCGCAGCUGCAGGAACAAGCUCCUACAAUGUCAACAAAAAAUGGUAUAGUGACAUAGGCACCACCAACCACAUCAUAGGAGAACUUGAGAAGCUAGUAGUUCAUGACCAACAAGGAUUUAAGCCUAGGGCCACUAGGGCCAUUGCCCUAGUCGUUGACCCAUUUUCUCCACAUGAGUAUACUGUAGCACAAAGAGGCCUGGCUCCAGCCAGCCCAUCAGCCCACUGAGUGGCCCUAGGCAUUGGGCCAGUCUAGCUCCGCCACUGUUAGUGACGAGUAAAAUGGUGCAGAAAGAAAUCCAUACUGCUAAUGGUGCAGGUAUGAACAUUAAACCUAUUAGUCAAUCAACAAUUCACACUCCAAAUCGAGAUCUUCUUAAAAAUAUUCUUUGUGUUCCAUCCACUAAAAAGAAUCUCGUUUCUAUACAUCGUCUUGCAUUUGAUAACAAUGAUUUUGAUCAAUUUCAUCAUGAUUUCUUUUAUAUAAAGGAUCAGGACAUGAGGAGCACUCUUCUUAGAGGAUCAUGUCAACAUGGGCUGCACCGUCUUCCUUCGGCAUUUGCCACAAAGCAAGCUUUUUGAGUCAAUAAAGUGUCCAUUGAUAGAUGGCACAAUCAUUUAGGACAUCCUUCUAUUCCAUUAGUUGAGAAACUUCUUAAGAAUCAUAAACUUCCUUAUUAUUUUGAUUCGAAUAAAAGUUCUAUCUAUGAUACUUAUCAAAAACCUAAGAGCCAUCAGAUCCCAUAUCCUAAAUCUACUAGAACUUCUAGUUAUCCUCUUGAGCUUAUUUUCUUUGAUGUUUGGGGGCCUGCACCUGAUUCAGUUGGGAGAUACAAAUAUUAUGUGAGCUUUGUUGAUGACUUUAGUAAAUUUACUUGGAUUUAUUAAAUCAAUUUUAAAUCUGAAGUUCUCUAGAAAUUUCAUGAGUUUCGGAGACUUGUUGAGAGACUCCUUGAUCGAAAAAUUAUUGCUGUCUAAAGUGAUUGGGGAGGCGAAUAUGAAAAUCUCAAUUCUUUCUUUUCAAAAAUUGGUAUUUGUCAUUUGGUUUCUUAUCCUCAUGCUCAUCAACAGAAUGGAUCAACUGAGCCUAAGCAUAGGCACAUCGUUGAAGUUGGCUUGUCCCUGUAGCCCAUGCACGCAUGCCUCUAAAAUUUUGGGACGAAGCUUUUCUUGCAGCAACUCUUUUUAUCAACUGCACUCCAAGUAAAGUUAUCAAUUUUGUCUCUCAUCUUGAAAAACUAUUCGAAACAACUCCCGAUUAUACAUCAUUACGUGUCUUUGGUUGCUCUUGUUGGCCUAAUCUUUGCCCCUAUAAUAAACAUAAUCCAUUCAAAGGAAUGUGCCUUUCUUGGAUACAACAAUAUGCACAAGGGAAUCAAGUUCCUUGACAUCUCCACUAGAACAUUUUAUUUUUCCCAUGAUGUAGUAUUUGAUGAAAAUAUUUUUCCCUUUUCUAAACUAAAUCCAAAUGUCGGAUCUUGUCUUCAUUCUGAAAUUCUUCUCCUUCCAUCUACCGUGUUAAAUCCCUCUAGAGGUGAAUCUGUGGUUGAUUCUAUGUUUAAUGAUUCUAAUCCACUAAUUUUGGUGAAAGAACAUGUGAUAUGCAGGAAGAAAAUGGAUCUGGCGUCAGUAGCUCAUGCCCCGGAGCUGAUUCCCCUAAACUACCAUUAGGUUCCGCCUCGGGAUCCUUGCAUCCAGGCGCACCAUCUGCACCUCCUUUUCACCAGGUGUGUGUUGCACCAACACGGCGAUUCCACACUUCUUGGUGGGAACGCGGUUCCUCCACCACCCGACCAAGCGCCCCGCCUCGACCAACCAGCAGGCGCCAUCGGUGCUAGGGGGGUUAGAGCAUCAACCUUGGGAUCGGAGCCUAAUCCUGUCUUGGAUGCUGUGGAUGCUGCGGUAGGAUCUUCUGCGGGUGAUCCUCCUAUAGAUCGAUCUACACCAGUUUCACCACUUGCAGCUCCUAGCCCAGCAAGAACACGUCUACAGGAUGGCAUUCGCAAACCAAAGGUAUUUAGUGAUCAUGUUCAUUAUGGCUGCUAUACCUCUAGUGGUGAAGCACAAAGUGUUCAAGAAGCUUUGAUGAAUAGUAAUCAAAAAAUGCAAUGUAUGUAGAGUAUGAUGCAUUAAUAAAGAAUAAAACAUGGCACCUAGUUCCACCGAAGAAAGGUAGCAAUAUUAUAGACUGCAAAUGGGUGUUUAAAACUAAGCUAAAGUCAGAUGGCAGCCUAGAUCGGUGUCGGUGUGUAGACCCGGCAACCUACCGAGGGGGAUGCCCGAGGUAGUGUUUGGUUAGUGGGGUUCGCCAAGAUCAGGAACUCGAAGGUGAACACAGACACACGAUUCAGACAGGUUUGGACCGCUAGACUGCGUAAUACCCUACGUUCUGUGUGUUAGUUGGAUUAAAUUGCUUUGGAGGAGGGUCCUUGCCUCACCUUAUAUUACUGGGGUUAGGGUUACAGGUUGGUUGAUUUACAAGAAUACUAGUCAGAUUCGACUAGGCGAGUCCAACUCUAAUUGCUAUGAGUAGUUUUCCUAAUCCUUGACUAGUUCCUGCCUGCAAUGUAGACCACACUGUCCUGCACCGUAGUCUCCGUGUUAGACACGUCUCGGUGUACAACCCUAUAUCUAGGACUGUCCAAACCUUCUGGUGGAUCCAUAGAUGUAGGUACGACAAUCAGCAUAAAGCUUGAUUGGUAGCAAAGCGGUUUAAACAAAGAUAUAGCAUAGAUUAUGAGGAUACCUUUAGUCCAGUUGUGAAGAUUUCCACUAUCAAAACAACUUUGUCUAUUGCUAUCUCAAGGGGCUAGAAUUUAAGGCAACUUGACGUGCAAAACGCCUUUCUCCAUGGUGUUCUAGAAGAGGAAGUAUAUAUGAAACAACCCCCAGACUAUGAGAACAAGUCUUUGCCAAACUUAGUUUGUAAGUUAGAUAAAGGUCUUUAUGGCUUGAAACUGGAUCCACAUGCAUGGUAUGCAAGGCUUAGCUCUAAGCUUCUUAUUCGUGGUUUUAAUUUGUCAAAGGCAGAUACAUCAUUAUUUUAUUUCAACAAAAAGGGAGUAACGGUGUUUAUGCUAGUCUAUGUUGAUGACAUAAUAGUGGCAAGCUCAAGUCAAGAAGCAGCUUCGGGUCUAUUGCAUAAUUUAAGGCGAGAGUUUGCCUUAAAAGAUUUGGGAGAACUUCACUACUUCUUGGGCAUUGAAGUAACCAAGGUGCGUGAUGGAAUUAUCCUUACCCAAGAUAAAUAUUCCUCAGAUUUAUUAAAGAAGGUAAAAAAGUUUGAUUGUAAACCUGUAAGCACUCCUAUGUCAACUAGUGCAAAAUUGUCUGUUGUUGAUGGAACUCUUUUGAGCAACACUUAUGCUACAUGGUAUAGAAGCAUUGUAGGGGCUCUCCAAUAUUUGACAUUAACUAGACCUGAUACUGCUUUUCCUGUAAACAAAGUGUCUCAAUAUUGACAUACUCCUAUUGAAGUUCAUUGGGCAACUGUCAAGAGAAUAUUGAGGUAAUUGAAGCAAGACACAAAGAUAGGUCUCAAGGUUAGUAGGUCAAAGUCUAUGUUGAUAAGUGGGUUUCUAUAUUCUUGGAUCAAGUUUAAUGUCCUGGAAUGCAAGGAAACAAUCAACAGUGUCAAGGUUAAGAACCUAGGCAGAGUAUAAGGCAAUUGCGAAUGCAACGGUAGAAAUUAUGUGGGUUCAAACAUUGCUGAAGGAAACUGGAGUGCAAUGUCCUCCUGCUGAAAUUAUGGUGUGAUAAUUUGGAAGCUAAGUAUUUAUCUACUAAUCAUGUGUUUCAUGCUAGAACUAAAUAUAUUGAAGUUGAUUAUAAUUUUGUUAGAGAAAAGGUACUAAGAAAUAUGUUGGAAAUAGAUUUUGUUCCUUGAGGUGAUCAAGUUGCAGAUGGAUUCACCAAGGCAUUAACAGUGCGGAAGCUGGAAAACUUCAAGUAUAAUCUCAGCCUAGAGCCUAGCAUGGUUGUGAUUGAGGAGGGCUGUUAGAUAAGGUGAUAUGUAACAAAUCUUUGUAUGCGGCAAGCUGUUAGGAUUGGCGGUUAGUUGUGCAUAUAGUUAGAGAUAGAGUUGUAGUAUAUCUUGUAAUCUCAACAACGAACAGUCGAUGCCUAGAGACUUGUAGACUAACCUUCUAAUCCACGUGAGGGGAGUUUCCUCGCCAUUUAACAUGAAGCCGCUGUCCAGGGAGAGGUACAGAGUUCUGCUCUUUGAUUGCUUUCAAUCAUCAGUGAUUGUGACAUGGGAAAUUAUUGGGUUUACCGUUGGAAGCAUCAGUCUCCACAAUCACAGCCGGUAUACGCGUUCAAUUCGUUGGUAGCUGGAGAUUACUACACGUGUCAACAAGACAUUGUCUAUACUCUGGUUAGGAAUAUUCCGGGAAUCUAAGUCUGCUGAUCAUUGAACUGAGGACGGUGACAUUCAAGUAGAUAUCAAACAGGCGGUCUAUAUGAGCAGGUGUAAAUGUCAAGGUCAAAUGACCAAUUGUUUCCACACAAAGAAUUAGCUACUUGGAGACUAGUGUGUGGCGCAGACGUAGCGUGCGAAAUUUCUUAGUCAAACAAGAGGGUUUAUUUAGUCCGAUCCAUUGUCCUGUCCAUUUCGUAAUUCGAUCUAGGAGACCAACUUUCUACCGUGAAUUUUGAGCAAAAUUCUUGAUGUUCGUAGGGACAGUGACAAUUAAAACAUGAAGGAGAACUCAGGUAACUUUUGUUUUGUACACAAAAACAAAAUUCUAUUUUGUUGUUAAUGAAUUCGGAGAGAUUCGACCUAGUUUGGGAAUUAAAAAGUUGGUAUCCACGUGAGCAAGUCCACUUUUUCCUUAAUAAAGUCUAACAAAGCCAACAAACUAAGAAUGCUAGUUUUGUUUGCAAGCUUGACUUGAUAUCAAAUACUUAAAAGUACUGAUAUUGUUUAAACUUGUCCAUUGGUAGUACUCCCUCUGUCCCGAAUUACAAGUAAUUUUGGAUUUACUAGUUUCAUAUCUUUUUAUAAUGCAUGUAGACAUAAUAUAUAUAGGUCCAUAACAAAAUUUAUUAAUUAAAAAACUAAAAUAGCUUAUAAUUUAAGACGGAGGGAUUGGCUGAUUUGAUAGCCAACUUCAGGAAUCACGAAGAUUCAACACAUAUUGAUGUGACAUGUACAAUUUUCAAAGGAUGCUGUUUUCAGCUGUAGGUAAAAUGUCGGAUUUACAAUACACAUGAAUUUACAUCAGGAUGUUCUGAAUUAGAAUUCAUUCUGUCAUUUUCCUUAAAAUUUGCCUUCAUAGUAGUACUGUCGUACAGAUUUAGUAGGAAAUUUUGGGCCGGUUAGGACUUUGCACUCAGCAGCAUAUGUCGCGACGAAUGGAAGCGGUACCGUGACAAUCACUGGCAGAUCAAGGAUUGUGACAACGGUGAAUAUUCGGCAUUGCAAGAAUCGAUCAACGCGUUAACUUCGUUGGUACCUAGAGCCACACGUCGAGAUGAUAAACAAGCCUUGCCGCGCAUCUGAUGAUGAGAUUACCGAAGACUAGUAUGCAGUACAUACUGACUCGCUAGUAGUGAAAGAGGCCAUCCAUACAGCUGUGUCAAGGUCAAGUAAACCCUAGGGCCUCCUUCGGACAGGGAAUUUUAGCUCGCUCUAGCAGAGUCGUAGGUGUGAAAGGUCCAGUAGUAUUAGGGAAUGCACCAUUAGUACCGGUUGGGAAUCCCUUUAGUACCGGUUUCGCAACCAGUACUGGUAGUUCGGUACUAAUGGAAGCCUUUAGUACCGGUUGAAAUAACCGGUACUAAAGGUUUAUUAAAAAAUUAAGAAAAAGGAAAUCCCCCGCCGGCCCCCGUCAGCCCCCCACCCCCGCUGCCCUCCUCCGCCCGCCCACAGCCACUCCCGCCUCCGCCCUCCACCGCCCGCCCGCCGCCACUCCCGCCUUCACCCUCCGACCUCCGCCCACCCGCCACCCCCUCCCGCCGCCGCUCCGCCACCCCCGCCGACCCACCGUUGCCGCCACCGCCGCCUCACCUCGCCCCGCCGCUGCUCUUCACUGCGCUGGUGAGGGGCGAGCAGAGGGGGGAGUAGAGGAGAUCUAGCGGAAGGGGAGAUAGAGGAGAGAGAGAUAGCGGUGGGGGGAGGGGACGGAUGGUGUGAAGAUAAGAUAGCAGUUGGGGGGGGGGGACGGAUGGGAAGAUAAGAUAGAAGAAGAGACGGGCGGCUGGCAGACGGAAGGCCUUUAGUGCUCACAUUAGUACCGGGCCAAAAUGCAACUGAUGCUGAGUCUCGAGUGAAUGCUCAGUUUUCCAGUAGUGGCCCUGAAAAAUAAAAUGAAUUUAUUUUUCAAUAAUGGAGGUAAACUCCAGUAUUUUCACCAAUUAGAGAUGCACAGAACCAUUUUAUCUUUGAAAAUAUGGAUACAAGGAUCUAAACUCAAGUGGGUGGAGUUAUGCACUGAUAACUUCAUCACCGCUACAUUAGAGGAAUCAAGCUUCGUAUUGAUUAUUUGUUUUAAAAAAAAAAUCUCAUAGCAGUAAAGUGCGCUGGUGGUCAUAAAAAACAGGCCUAUCAUUUCUGAACAAAGGAGUAUCUUAAUUGUAUCCGAGCUUGCCCCAUGGUUGUCAACUUGCAUUUACAAUUUUGGAGCAUGCAUAUCCUAGUAAGGCCAUUCUCAACAUAAAGUUUCAUAUUUAUGAUUCCAAGAGUGGGAGAAGGCCUGGGUGGGUUGCUGCUCCAUCUGUGGAGUAAGCAGUCCAGGUUCGAAUCCUGUCGGGCAUGUAUUCGCUAGGUCCGGCUGGUGUAACCCUAGUGCCUAGCAUUCUCAUAACGCAAGGGCUACUCUAGGCUCUGGACCCUAUAGUAAUGACAUUACCAGGACGUUUACCAAUAAUUUGUUAAAUUAUAAGCACGUUUAGUGUGUAAAAUUAGCAUCAAUAUAUCUAAAAUCAUUUUGAGAUGAUAUUGAGUACUUAGCAACUGACGAAUUUUAAGAGAAAUUGGGAGUCAAAAUCAACUUUGGAAGACUUUUCCCCAUUUGAAAUAAGCCUAUCAUUUCUGAACAAGGGAGUAUCUUAAUUGUAUCCGAGUUUGGCCCAUGGUUAUGUGUAUUCUAAAACUUGCAUUUACAAUUAUGGAGGAUGCAUAUGCUAGUAAGGUCAUUCUCAAUGCAAAGUUUCAUAUUUAUGUUUCCAAGAGUGUCACAUAAGUAGGAUGUAUUUAGUUCAUGGAUGAAAUAGCUCACACAAUGCAUAGUUUUAUCUUUUUAGUUUCCAAGGCUACAUGCAAGACACAAAAAUCUUAGAAACAGUAUACAUAUGGUUUCAUCCUCAUGAAACUAAUUUUUUCUCUCACCUCAUAAAUAGUAUGUCAUGUCAUCAAAAUUACUUAUGUGUCAGCUCCUUUAUCGUCCAUGAAACUGCUAUUGAGAAUGGCCUAAGAACCAAUGGUUGUGUACAUGAUGCUGCGUGUCAAAACUCACAAUAAAGGUUGAUUUGAUAAUAAAUUGAAGGAUCAAGGACGAUUUGAAUUAAAUAAUUUUGCUACCAACACACAUAAACACAUGAAUAUUUUCAUAAUAAAGAUCCAUCAGCAAAGGUAGUACCACACACUAAUAAAAAAUAAAGAGGCCGCACCACAUAAAACCCUACGUAGACGACUAAACAGACACCACUCGUGUGUGCUCUGCCGAUGCUGCUGCGUCAGCGUGCUGUGGUGGCCGUUGUCCUUCAAUCUCUCCAGUUAUCCAGUGACUUCCCCUUUGUCUCCGACAAGAGGAGCGUAAACACAAGACCGACUAUGUUGCAGCGUUAUUGCGACGUAAUUUUCCGUGUACCAGAGGGCAAACACGCCGAUGAUGGCGCCAAACUUCCCGAAGGUGAUGUCGGCAGCAAGCCAGCCGAGGAGGUGGACACCAUGGCGGCGGAGGAACUCUGACGAAAAGAGACCGUACUGGCCCGGCCGGGCGAGCUCGUUGACAGCUUCGUCCUCCGGUACGAUGUCCACGUUGAGGACGGAGGGCAUGCCAUGAGCCAGUAGAAGGUAACGGUAGCCGGAGCGGUGCCGAACAUGAGAACAAUUCGCCAGACGAAGUCAGCGUUGGAUGUAGUACCAUUCUGGAAGGCGGAUGACACCACCAUUCCGACGAUCCCGGCUGCGUGAGCUUUCAUGCAAAAUUUUAAAAAAAAUAGUGCCUGAAGUGUUAUUAAAAUAAUUACCAUGAUUAUAGCAUGUACUUGUUUAAUUAUAUCUAAAUUUAUUGUUUAAUAUUUAGUGGUGCUAAAAAAUCGAAAUAUUUACUAUUUGAACCAUGCAAAAAUUAGUUCUUGUUUAAUAGGGUGAUAUUUUUACAAAUAUUAUUAUUAAUAAAAAGAAAAUGGAAUAAUUCAGAAUACAUGACAUAUCAUACAAUGAGUUAUUACGUUACUUUAUCACUUGAUAACAAAACACAACAUAAUGGUUCGCAUCAUCUAACGGAAGGUAAUAACCUUGCUCUUGACGAACAUCCCUUAGUUAUGAUCGUGGUGUAAGUAUGGAGCAUCCUCUUUGGCCAACAGGAUGGUUGGGUCAACCUGGACUAAAAAUGGAGGAAGAUCAUCGAACUGAUCAUAAUCUUAUGAAAUGUUAGUCUUGUCCUCAACUCUAACAAUUUUCCUUUUCCCUGGAAGAACUAUGUGGCGCUUUGGCUGGUCAUGUGACUUAUCAGCACCACUUUUCUGUUUUUUGUUUGCUUGACAUGUCCUUCACGUAAAAAACUUGAGUCACAUCAUUGGCUAGGAUGGGUGGUUCCUCACUGUAUCCAAUCUUGUUGCGGUCCACUAUUAUCAUCCUAUAGUUGUAUGUCAUUACAUCUCCUCCAGUAAGUUUCAUCCACUAGCACCGAAACAGAGGGAUUUUCAAAGGUCCAUAGUUAAGUUCCCAUAUCUCCACAAUGACACCAUAGUAUCUGUCUUUUUUUCCAUUGUUGCCUAUUGCAUCUAUAUGAACACCACUAUUUUGGUUUGUGCUCUUUUGGUCUUGAGCUCUCAUGUAAAAUGUGUACCCAUGCGAAUACUGAUAUAGAUGGACCCCAAGCCAACCAUGCUAGUUGCUCUUCAAUCGUGUCAUCACCCAUCAGUCGCCGCCGCAACCAAGAGGCAAAAGUGUAUAUGUGAUGACAUGUAAUCUAGGUCUCAGUGUUCCCCUAGUUUGAGGAUCGUACAAUGGUCUUGUGCUUCUCCAUAUAUGGAGCCACCAGGGAUGUUUGUUGCAGGACUGUGAAGUGUGCUUUACGAAAUGUACUCUCAUCAAUGUCCAUCUGAGCUUGCCUCCCUAGUGUCCCCUUUCCCUUGAGUCUUCCCUCUUGGCGUGAUACAACGACUCCAAUCAAACUAAGGUCGUCAAUAAAGUCAACACAAAGCUCCAUGACCUCCUCUGUUCCAUAUCCCUUUGUAAUGCUUCCUUCUUGAUGGGCACGAUUAUGAACAUACUUCUUCAAAACUAACAUAAACCUCUCAAAAGGGAACACAUUGUGUAGAAAUACAGGAUCGAAAAGAAAAAUCUCUUCAACAAGGUGCACUAAAAGGUGAGUCAUGAUAUUAAAGAAGGAAGGUGGAAAGAUCAUCUUAAAGCUAACAAGGCAUUGCACCACGUUAAUCUGCAGCUUUAGUAGAUUGUUUAGAUGGAUUGCCUUCUGAGAAAUCAUGUUGAGGAAUGCACAUAGCUUCACGAUUGUCAUUGUCACAUUCUCUAGUAGAAUACCCCUCAGUGCAACAGGCAACAAUUGUGUCAUCAGGAUGUAACAAUCAUAGGCCUUUAGUUUUAUGAAUUUCUUCUCUUUAAUAUUUAUUAUUCCUUGUGCAUUCGAGGAGUAGCCUGACGGGAUCCUGAUACUAUUCAAGUAAUCAAACAUGCUUUUCUUCUCUUCCUUGCUGAGGAGUGUAACUAGCAGGAUGCAAGUAAUGUCCAUCAUCUUUCUUAGGUAAAUAUCAAUGUCAUUGCCAGGUUGUUCUAGGUCUUGCAUCAUAAUGAACUUCCGCUUCAUGCACAUCCAGGGUGGAAGGUUGAACAUACAUAAGGUCACAAGCCAAGUGCUAUGACCACUACUAAACUCACCGAAUGGAUUGAAUCCAUCCAUACUUAAACCAAACCGUAUGUUCCUAACAUCUUUUUCAAACUUAGAAAAUUCUCUAUCAACUAGGACCCAUCAACGGAGUGUCUAAUCAUUUCAUCUUUCUUACGUUCUUUUUUGUGCCAGCGCAUCAACUUUGGAUGUGCCUUGUUUCUCAACAAAUGCUUCAAGCGCGGUACUACAGGGAAAUACCAAUUACCUUUGCAGGAACUUUCUUCUUACUAGCCUACCCCUCAACAUCACCAGGGUCAUCUCGCCUGAUCUUAUAUCGCAGCGGUUCGCACAUAGGACAAACCUCCAAUUUCUCAUAUUCCUCACCGCGAUAGAGGAUAUAGUCAUUAGGACAUGCAUGUAUCUUUUAGACCUCGAAACCCAGAGGGCAAACAAUCUUUUUCACCUUGUAUGUUGAGAAUGGCAAUUCAUUCCACUGGGGAGGCAUGUUCUUUAUAAUUUUUAUUAAGUCAUCAAAUUUCGAACGGGGGUAGGUAGUUGUCGUUGUCAAGAUUAGCGGAUCAAGACUAAGACUAGUAAAUUUCUUUUAUGCACGUAAGGCUUCGGAUGGUGGCGUGGGAGACAUGGGAUUUAGACUGGUUCGGGUAAGGAAGAGUCCUACGUCCAGUAUCAGGAGCUGCUCGUGUUGCCCACGCGGGGUCUGUAGUAGAGGUUGUAGGAGGACGAGAGAGGGAACUGAUCCCAAGUCUCUUGGGUGUGCACUGAUGCUCUAAAGGAGAGUGUGAGGGUUUUGUUUGCCUGGGCGCCUCCCCUGUCUCAGGCCCCCGGUUCUCCUUUUAUAGCGCAAGGAAGCCACCGGGGUUACAGUUGAGACCAGGUGCGUGGAGAAGUAAAAGAGAUAAACAAAGCUAAGUAAAAUACAACAUAAGGAGAGGGACCAAGUUCCAGGGCCACCGUCCCUCGCUCCGGCCUCCGGCUCCUAUCAGUGCGUCCGUCGGGAGAGGGCGGCUGCCUCCAGAUCCUGUCGAUGAUCUCUCCGGUGGCCGUUGCUGCCAGGCAUGAUGAUGAUGUUUAGUCAUGGCGUCUGUGCCCGCCGGGGAGGAUGGCGGAUUAUGUCAUCUUGCUGAUGACCCAUGGGACGCGGACGUCGCGUCCCUGUCGCCGGAAGCAUGGGGCGCGAGAACAGGCGGAACGCCCUCCUGUGCCAGGCGGCGCGGGCCAUAAGUACCCUGUGGCGAAUCGGAGGGAGCCGCGGCCAUUGUAGCUCGCACCGCACGGUCGCGCAUGGGUAUUUGUGACGGGUCGCGCUGGGAGCGCCAGCUCCUUUUCUGCGUGCCAGGGCCGCGGCGCAUUUAUGGUGAGGUCGACAGGGGUACCCACGAGAUCCGCGCCCUGAUCUUCCAAUCUGCGUCCGAGGCGGAUAUUUGUCUUGUGGGCCCGAACGAGUCCGACCCCCCGCACCUUGGGUUAGGUGAGGCGGAGUUUUGCGGGGGCGGCUGUCGAACCCGUGGUGGGCCAGCCUUCGAACCCCUGGACCGUAAUGGGCCGUAGGGGUGUUUUCAGCCCCGUAUCCCAUUUUUACCUUUUGGUGGGCCUUGGGCCGGACGUGGAGGAGGUUUUGCCUUGGGCCGGACGUGGAGGAGGUUGCGCCUUGGGCCGGAUGCGGAGGAUGUCGUGCGUGCGUUAUCCGGGAGAUGAAGUGGCAGAAGACGCCGACCCGCGAAUCGAGGGAGGAGGAGAUGUUUACUGCUGCAGGUCCUUCGCACGGUUUCCGAAAAAGGGUGGGCGUGAUGGGGCGUACCUGGCGCCGCAUUUAUUGUGAUGGGGGCGUCCGUUCUGCUUCCCACACGCCUUCCUAUAAGACGGGGAUUCUGCCUCGCUGGUUCCGCCCGCUAUCUGCCCCAAAGUCUUUUCGCCUCUUCACGUGCCAUUAGGUUUCUUGCGCACCGUUUGUCUUCCUCCGCCCAGCGUCGCAGCCUUCCUCUCCUUCCGCCAUCAGGUUUUUCUUCUCUUGGCGAUGGGAUCCUGGGCGCGCACAAGCUUCGGCAUCUCGCGCGCUAACAGCCUCACGAGGAAGGGCCUCCUCUAUGAGAGGACCGAGAGGGAUGAAUGGUGGUUCCCCAAGAUGGAUGAGGUGCCGAAUCCGCCCGCUGGCUACAUCGUGUCAUUUGCCCACUUCCAAGAGAGGGGGUUCGCAACUCUGCUGAGUCUUUUCUUCCGCGCGCUCCUGCACUACUAUGGGAUUGAGCUGCAGCACCUCAAUCCCAACGGGAUCCAGCACAUCGCGGUGUUCGUCGCGCUGUGCGAGGGGUUUCUGGGCAUUGAGCCCAACUUCUCGCUAUGGAAGUACUUCUUCGCAGUCAGCCUGUACCAGAAGAUCGAGAAGAUAGGAAACCAGCAGCGGGCAACCCCGGUGCCGAUAGGGUGUGUUGGGAUCCACCUCCACCAUACUCGUGCCAAGGAGUACAUGGCGAUGAAAACCGCGGCGUCCCACAAGGGGUGGCAUCAGCAGUGGUUCUACGUGAAAAACUACUCUAACUCCCCCCUGCCGGAGUUCACCGGCUGCAUCAUUGAAGCGGCACCAGAGCUCUGGUCGUACGGCCCGGUGGAGAAGGAAAAGAAGCGGAUCGUCGACUUGCUUCGGGCCAUCGAGUACCUGAAGGGAAAGGGGCGGACCGGGGCCAGAGUCAUCGGAGCGUACCACGCCCGGAGGGUGGCGCCGUUGAUGCUCCAGGUCCGUUCGCUCGCAGGUAUGACCCCCGGCGCACUGACUGAGGGCACCAUCCUUGCGAUGGGUGCGCUCGCCGUCUCCGAGAUCCGGCAGCGAGCUCGAGAGGUGCUGGAGGAUAAGGACGCUGAUUACCCGGUGCCUGGCCACCCUCCGAUGCGCCCGGAUGAGAGCUUCGUUCAGCUGGUGAAGACUGAGUGCUUCCGUUUCCCUCUUCUAUGUUUCUUGGUUCGUCACUCUAACUCUGAGUUUUCAUGUUUGCAGGGCAGUAUGACCAGCAUCGUCGACUUGCGCCCACCGGUGCCAGAGGACGCCGAGCGGUGGCAGCAAAACCGUCUCCUCGCCGAGAAGCAGAAGCAGCGCAAGGAUAAGGACACGGCGAGGAAGAGGAAGAAGGCCGCCAAGGAGUUCCAACGGCAGCAGCGGGGCCAGGUCAUGCCGGACGAUGAUGACGACGAUGAUGAGGAGGAAGACGACGACGAGGAGGACGAGGAAGAGUUCGUUCUGACCCCCCGGUCGGGCGCGCUCGUUAUCCGGGAGACGCACUCCCAAACGGCCGUGGGGGACAGACCGAGCGGGCCGCCUGCCCGGGACUCAGCCCUGUAAAGCUCUAGGGCCGCACCCCAGGGGUCGGCGCGGAGCGCCCCUCGGGAGUUGGCGAAGCAAACCCUUGUCACUCUGCCUGCGGCCCAGGAGCAGGGGAGUGGCAGCAAGCGACCGUUGCCAGAUGCCUCGGGGUCGACUUCAGGCUCGGAGGUGAAACACAUGCGCCGUCCUUGCGCUGGGGGAAUGUGAGUGGAAUUUCUUCGCGAGUCUCGUUCUUUUCCAGGCAUUGAGUCAUUUUAGCUGAUGUUUUUUGUUGUUUCGCAGUGCCGCCCCUCGAGGCCUUGUUCCGCCGCUGGCGCCGAAGAAGGCACUACGGGUGUCAUCCACCUCCGCGGGGCGGACCGCGACCCCGCCGGCGGCGAGCGGCGGUGUUGCCGGGGAGACUGCGGGUCCCACCGCCUGCGGCGGCAACUGGUGGAGUGGCGCCGUCGCCGAGCACAGGACAGGGUCUGACCCCUGCUCCACCAUCUUCUUCUUCGGCCAACCCCACGGGACAGGGGAUUGCCUCUGGGGGCCCUCCGACCGGGGUGGUGAUAGACCUUGAUGACGAGGCGGAGGAGGAGCGCAUGGCCCUGGCGGCGGUGGCUGAGACGGAUACGGUUGCCCCAGCGGCCGUGACUGGGACGGCGGUGGCGACGGAGUUGAGGGAGUCUGCCCCCUCGGCCAUGACGGGGACAGUGGCAGUGGGGGAGGCGAGGACACUAGCCCCGCCGGUUGCGACGGAGGCCGCGGCGGCGGCGGAGGCGGGGACGUCCGCCCGGGGAGUCGCGGCGAAGGCAGCGGCAGCGGCGGGGGCGGAGGUGCCCACUCCAGGGGCCACAACGGGGGCGGGGAUGCCUGCCUUGGCGGCCGCGACCAGGGACGCGGCGGUGACGGGCACGCCCGCUUCAGCAACCGUGACGGUGGUGGCGGCGGCGGCAGACGGAUCGGAGCGCGCGUUGGCGUCAACGACGUCCGCGGAGAUCCUAGCAUGGAUGGCGGUGCGUGUGCCGGGACCGUCGACGAGGCCGACGGCAUCCGGGGUGACGGCGCCUACCCUGGCGACGGCGUUGGGGACAGCGGCGCCGGGGGCGUCCGGGGCGACGUCUACCCAUGCCUCGGUCGGUCCUAUUCCCAAGGCGUGGAGUGGGACUACCAUGCGCUGGAUGUCCCGCGACGACCCGCAGAGGCCCCUCUUGACACUGGAUGACGCCGAGGCGUGGGGAAAGUGGCAGGCGGUGCAGGGCGGACUUGCGAACGUUCGCGCUGCCCUGGCCUCGGCGAUGGGGGAGCUGGACGGCGUUGUCGUUCCCAGUGGCUAGGUAUGAUGUUCUCCCCAGCGGUUAUUUUUCUUCCGCUGCUUCGUUGCUGAGCGUGUAUCGUCCUCUAGGCCCUCCAGGAGUGUAGCCGGGGGAAGUCCGACUUCCUCCGGACUGAGCGGGAGCUUUGGGACCGUUUCUCUACGGAGAAGCAGCGGACCGGGGAGCUGACCGCGCAGGUUGCUGCUGCCCAUCAGGUCAUCAACGACCUGCAAAGGCGCGAGCAGGCAGCGUGGGAGGACUCCCGACGGGCGGAGGGCAAGUUCCAGGCCGUCGCCGAUAAGGCUCGCCUCGACCACGAGCAGCUCUAGGCCACUGCUGCCGAGAGGGCCCGCCUUGACGCCGAGGAGCUCGCACGGCUGAGGGGGGAGCUUGAAGCCCUUUAGAAAACCGCCGAGCGCAUCCGGCGCGAGCGGCAGGAAGCUUGGCAGGAGCGAGACUUUGAGGCGGCCCGGAAGGACGAGGCCGAGAAGGUGGCGGCCGAGCUUGGGGCGGAGGUUAGCCAGCUCCAUGCACAAGUGUAGGGGCUCUAGACCGCUGUGGCCCAGGGGCUCGACCAGGAGCAUGAGCUGAAGGCCCGGUCCGAGGGUAAGGCUUUUUUUUCGCUCCUUUGUUUUCUUGUUUCUUUGUGGUGGCUUCUGACUUGGAUUUCUGCGGACUGUCCUUACAGUCGAAAUCGCCCGGCUCAAGGAGGUCCUUGACGCUGAGCGCGCCGAGCACGGUAGCUUGCGGGACGCGGUUCGUGUCGUCUGCGACGGCCUUAGCGUGAUCCAGGGGGAGGGGACGAGCUCGCUGGUGACUCGUGUCCUCGGGACAUACCGGCGGACCCGCGACAUCGCCGUAGAGGUGCUCCGCAUCGGUGUGAGGCGGGCCUUCGGUGUCUUCGGUUCCCACUAUUCCGGCAUCAACUUUGCUAGGAUGAGCGGGAGGUACGCCGCUGGCUACUCCGAGGCCGAGCUGGACGAGAUCGACGCGUCGGUGCUCAACCUAGCGGACGCUUUGGCGAAGCUCCUGGAGGAUGAGGCCGUCCCGCCUGAAGACCCCAAGACGGGCUAGCUGUAUCGGCCUGGCGCCCAGAUGUAAUACAUUAGCUUUGAUUUUGAACUUGUUCUUGUAAUGGCCGCAGGGGCCUUUUUAUGACUUGCCAAAAAAGUUUCCCAUCCUCUUUCUUGUUUUUUGGUUUUGGAAAGUUUGGAGCGGGGUCAGGUGUGUCAGUAAGCAAUGAUGGGCGAAGAUACCAUAGCCGCUGGGGCGUGGGCUUUUCCGCAGUCCGAUCAAUCUUGCCUGAACACCGUUCGCGCACUCCCCCCUUUUCAUGCCCAAAUUUUUUAGGAAGAGGGUCAGCUCGGAAAAAAAUUCAUUUUGAGAAGAUGUCAAGUGACUUGGGUCGGAGCCCCCGAUAGCCCCCGAGGGAUAUGCAGCCUUGGGGAAGAGCCAGGGUCGAAUAUCCCUGAGUUCGAUACGAAACUUGAAUGAAAUUGACUCAAAAUUCCUUUUUUCGUUAACUGACAAUUUACAGGAGUGUUUACGUACAGAACUUGGAAACAGAAAACUAAGGGUAGAAACGUCUUAGCUGUUCUCUGUUCCAAGCAUUGCUGAAGAUCUGUCCGUCAGGGGUCACCAGCUUGUACGUUCCUAACCGCAGUACCUGCGUGACGAUGAAGCGUCCUUCCCACGGAGGGGUCAGCUUGUGUCGACCCCUGUUGUCCUCGACGAGGCGGAGCACCAAGCCGCCAACGUUGAAGGCUCGGCCUUGCACCUUACGGCUGUGGUAGCAUCGUAAGGCCUGCUGGUACUUGGCCGAGUGCAGCAGGGCGACAUCGCGUGCUUCAUUGAGCUGAUCUUGUGCGUCUUCGAGCGACGCCUGGUUUCCUCGUUCGUCAUACGCCAUGACCCUCGACGACCCGUACUCUAGGUCGGUAGGCAGGAUGGCCUCAGACCUGUGGACCAUGAAGAAUGGGGUGAAGCCAGUCGCCUGACUGGGGGUUGUCUUGAGACUCCAUAGGACUACGGGGAGCUCCGCGACCCACCGGCCGCCAAACUUUUUGAGGUGGUCGAAGAUUCGUGGCUUGAGACCCUGGAGUAUCAUGCCGUUGGCUCGUUCAACCUGUCCGUUCGUGCGGGGAUGUGUCAUGGCCGACCAGACCACUCGGAUGUGGUGGUCAUCGCAGAAUUGGAGAAAUUUCUUCCUGGUGAACUGCGUGCCAUUGUCCGUGAUGAUGGAGUUGGGGAUUCCGAAGCAGUGGACGAUGUCGGUGAAGAAUUGUACUGCCUGCUCGGACUUGAUUUGCGCAACCGGUCAUGCUUCGAUCUACUUGGAGAACUUGUCAACAGCGACAAGCAGGUGGGUGAAGCCCCCGGGCGCUUUCUUGAAGGGCCCGACGAGGUCCAGCCCCCAGACCGCGAAGGGCCACGUGAUGGGGAUGGUCUGGAGCACCUGCGCAGGCAGAUGGGUUUGGCGCGCGAAGAAUUGGCACUCUUCGCAGGUGCGGACCACAUGGGUGGCAUCGGCGACCGUCGUCGACCAGUAGAAACCCUGCUAGAAAGUAUUUCCAACGAGGGUUCUUGGCGCGGCGUGAUGGCCGUAGGCUCCAGCGCAGAGCCUGAAGCCGACCCCGGGGCAUUUGGCAACAGUCGCUUGCCGCCGCUCCUCUGCUCCAGGGCCACAAGCAGAGUGAUGAGGGUCGGCUCCGCCGACUCCCGAGGGGCGCUCCGCGCCGACCACUGGGGCGCGGCCCCAGAGCUUUGCGGGCCUGAGUCUCAGGCAGGCGGCCCCCUCGGUCUGUCCCCCGCGGCCGUUUGGGAGCACGUCUCCCGGAUAACGAGUGCGCCCGACCGGGGGGUCAGAACAAACUCUUUCUCGUCCUCCUCCUCGUCAUUGUCCUCCUUCUCUUCCUCCUCAUCGUUGUCGUUGUUAUCGUCCGACACGACCUAGCCCUGCCGCCGCCGUUGGAACUCCUUGGCGGCCUUCUUCCUCUUCCUCGCCGUCUCCUUGUCCUUGCGCUGCUUCUGCUUCUCGGCGAGGAGAUGGUUCUGUUGCCGCCGCUCGGCGUCCUCUGGCACCGGUGGGUGCGAGUCGACGAUGCUGGUCAUACUACCCUACAAACACGAAAACUCAGAGUCAGAGCUGUUGGAGGUAUGCCCUAGAGGCAAUCAUAGAGAUGAUGAUAUUCCAUUUGUAUUCAUGUUUUGUAUAUUGUGUUCAUUGAAUAUCCAUUAAAGGCUACUUGAAUUGAUUUGCAAUUAUGUGAAUUGUAUGUGAAACUCUUUACUUGUAUGGUUAUUCUAAAGUUGUCCCUAGUCGGAGUUCAUGUGAGGACACACAUGAAUAUUAGACUAGCACAUGUAUUAGUUGAUGACUAUGUUUCACAAGUCAUGGACAUGGAGAUGUUGAACUAAUAAUGUGGACACAUGUGGAGACAUGUGUUAGGACUGACCCAACAUGAGAAGUAGUUCUCUCUUUAAACAACAUAUACGCUUUGUCCUUAGACCUGAGAUUGUCGCAUGUAUUCUAGAUGUGGAUCGACCUACUUAGGGGCUAUCAAACGCUAUGCCGUAACAGGGUAGUUAUAAAGGUAGCUUUCGGGUUUGUCAAGAAGCAUGCUAUGAGACAUGGUCAAUCAAGAUGGGAUUUGCCCCUCUCUGAUUGAGAGUGAUAUCUCUGGGCCCCUCGAGUGAUCGGAUCCGAAAAUGCAUGGCCAUGCUACGUACGGUUAAGAGUUAACCUACAAAGGGAUUCCGAAUCACAGGAUCGAGAAAGAGCGGUCGGCUUGAAGCUAGACCAAAUAUCGUGAGGCAAAGGGAAUAGCAUGUAUAUUAUGUUGUGAUGGUUCGUCUGAUAUGAUCUUCGUGUGCGUAUAGGAGUUGGCACGUCUUGCUAGAGGCCGCUACCGACUAUUGGGCCGAGUAGGAGUACUCGGGCCAUGUCUAUACGUAUCCGAACCCAUAGGGUCACACACUUAAGGGGCUGGAAGCCCAAUUCGGAUUUGAUCCGAGUUGGAUUAGGUUUAGGAGUACUAAUGGGCCUCGGAUCCAGAGGCCCGUCAGGAACCCCUAUAAAUAGAGGGGUGGGGGCGCCCUAGGGUUCACACCUUUUGGCGAAACACACCUGCCGCGCCUCCCACGCCCUCGCCUGUUGCAACUCGCGGAUCUAGCAAUCCGGCUUGCGACGCUUCCUCCCUGCACGUGUGGAUACCUUGGAGGUGUUGCGCGCCUGCAGCACUUGGACGAGCCGCCGACGAGCCACGACGAGCCGACGACGAGCCGCGGUACCGGAGGCGAGCUUGCUGUGCACGUGGACGAGCUGCUGAGGAGCUGCUGGACGUGAUUGACUACGUACGACUACGUUGAUCUACUACGUACGACUACGUGAUCGUCUUCACUGCACCGACGCAAAUCUACAUCUUCCGCACCAGUAGUGCGUCGAGUGGUAAUCCCGUGAUCCUUAUACGGCAGUUCUUCCUGGUUAUACACGGUAGAAUUUUUGAUUUGCGCUAGUGUAGCCUACCUCGUAUCCCAUCAAGAGCGAUGAACCAAGAAACACAGAAGAGGGAAACGGAAGCGCUCAGUCUUCACCAGCUGAACGAAGUUCUCGUCCGGGCGCAUCGGAGGGUGGCCAGGCACCGGGUAAUCGGCGUCCUUAUCCUCCAGCGCCUCCCGAACUCGCUGCCCGAUCUCGGAAGCGGCGAGCAUGCCCGUCGCAAGGACGACACCCUCGGUCAGCGUGCUGGGGGUCAUAUCGGCGAGCGAGCGGACCCAGAGCAUCAACGGCGCCACCCUCCGGGCGUGGUACGCUCCAAUGACUCCGGCCCCGGUCACCCCUUUCCCUUCAGGUACUCGAUGGCCUAAAGCAAGCUGACGAUCCGCUUCUUUUCCUUCUCCACCGGGCCGUACAACUAGAGCUCCGGCGCUGCUUCAAUGAUGCGGCCAGUGAACUCCGACAGGGGGGAGUUAGAGUAGUUCUUCACGUAGAACCACUGCUGAUGCCACCCCUUGUGGGACGCCGCAGUCUUCAUCGCCAUGUACUCCUUGGCGUGAGUAUGGCGGAGGUGGAUCCCGGCACACCCUAUCGGCACCAGGGUUGCCCGCUGCUGGUUUCCUCUCUUCUCGGUCUUCUAGUAUAGGCUGACUGCGAAGAAGUACUUACAUAGCGAGAAGUUGGCUCAAUGCCUAGGAACCCCUCGCACAGCGCGACGAAUGCCGCGAUGUGCUGGAUCCCGUUGGGAUUGAGGUGCUGUAGCUCAAUCCCGUAGUAGUGCAGGAGCCCGCGGAAGAAAAGACUCGGCGGAGUCGCGAACUCCCUCUCGUGGAAGUGGGCAAACGACACGACGUAGCUAGUGGGCGGAUUCGGCACCUCCUCCAUCUCGGGGAACCGCCAUUCAUCCCUCUCGGUCCUCUCAUAGAGGAGGCCCUUCCUUGUGAGGCCGUCAGCGCGCGAGGUGCCGAAGCUUGUGCGCGCCUAGGAUCUCAUCGCCAAGAGAAGAAAAACUCGACAGCGGAAGGAGAGGAAAGCUGCGGCGCUGGGCGGAGGAAGACGAAGGGCGCGUAAGAAAGCUAAGGGCGCGUGAAGAGGCGAAAAGACUUGGGGGCAGAUAGCGGGCAGAACCGGCGAGGCGGAAUCCCCGUCUUAUAGGAAGGCGUGUGGGAAGCAGAACAGAUGCCACCCAUCAUAAUAAAUGCGGCGCCAGGUACGCCCCGUCACACCCGCCCUUUUUUCAGAAACCGUGCGCACGACCUGCAGCAGGAAACAUCUCCUCCUCCCUCGAUUCGUGGGUCGGCAUCUUCCACCACUUCAUCUCCCGGAGAACACGCGCACGACAUCCUCCGCAUCUGGCCCACUGCACAACCUCCUCCACGUCCAGCCCAAGGCACAACCUCCUCCACGUCCGGCCCAAGGCCCACCAAAAGGUAAAAACGGGAUACGGGGCUGAAAACGCCCCUACGGCCCAUUACGGUCUAGGGGUUUGAAGGCUGGCCUACCACGGGUUCAACAGCCGCCCCAGGAUACCCCCAAGCGAGGGGUGAGAGGAGACAGUUCCGCUAGCGGCCAUCACCCAGGCGCACGACAACCUAGGACGUCUCGAUCUCACAUUCGAGUCCGGACCAGCAUCAGAGUUCAUGGUUUUUCCCCGAGGAAAGGCAACGAGCCCCCGGAUCUGACCGAACGAAUUAGGGAACUAUAUGAACUGGCCGACAGAGCCUGGGGUACGCCACCAGCUUGGCCCGAGCCGGACCCCCCCGAACGGGGACCACGACCCCACUCGAAUCAACCCGUUAGUAGCUCAAUGCGCACCACGGUUCGUCCGGCGAGGAUAGCGUGGCACGGCUCGCCCCCUCCGUCUCAGCGAACAGAUGCUUGAGGGGUAACGUACAAAAGGGGACCUAGCCUCCCGACCGGUCCCCUGCAACGCGCGGGGGCUCGGGGGCUAGACUCGCAACCAAAGACCACACGGGUGGUCUAGACUUAAGGCUCUCAAACAGAAGAGAACGACAAGAAAUCCUCUCGCGCUGAGUCGCUCACAGGACGCUUCACCUGAUCAACCCCCUCAGUCAAGCCGCACAGACAACACCUCCCAUCCCUGAUCGACUGCAAGGAUCCCCUACGGACGGCGACAGCAGCCUCUGGAAGAGUGUCCCCGCUCCACCAUUGGCUCGGGGGCUACUGUUGGGGGGAAAUAUUAACGACCUCCCAAAGCCCAUGGAAACAACAAUCAUAAAGGCCCAGGCCCACCUAAGGUAAUAAAGCUGCCAUUGGCCCAACACGGGAGGGAGGAGCCACGCUCCGCCUCGCCCGAGCCAGUGUCCUGGGGUCGGCCGUUCCCGACCCCUUGAAGACCAAACUCCACCUCGCCUGACCCCUCGCCGCAAAACUCCGCCUCACCCGACCUAGGGCGCGGGGGUCGGACUCGUUCGGGCCCACAAGACAAAUAUCCGCCUCGGUCGCAGAUUGGAAGAUCAGGGUGCGGAUCCCGUUGGUCCCCCUGUCGAUCUCGCCAUAAAUGCGCCACAGCCCUGUCAUGCAGAAAGGAGCUGGCACUCCCAGUGCGACCCGUCACAAGUACCCAUGCACGACCGUGCGGUGCGAGCUACAGUGGCCGUGGCUCCCUCCGAUUCGCCACAGGGUACUCAUGGCCCGCGCCGCUCGGCACAGGAGGGCGUUCCGCCCGUUCUCGCGCCCCACACUUCCGGCGAUAGGGACGCGACGUCCGCAUCCCACGGGUCAUCAGCAAGAUAACAGAAUCCGCCAUCCUCCCCGGCGGGCACAGACACCACGACUAAACAUCAUCAUCGUGCCUGGCAGCAACGGCCACUCGAGAGAUCAUCGACAGGAUCUGGAGGCAGCCGCCCUCUCCCGACAGACGCGAUGACAGGAGCUGGAGGCCGAAGCGAGGGGUGGCGGCCCUGGCACUUGGUCCCUCUCCUUACAUUGUAUUUUACUUAGCUUUUUUUAUCUCUUUUACUUCUCCAUGCAUCCGAUCUCACCUGUAACCCUGGUGGCUUUCUUGCGCUAUAAAAGGAGAACCGGGGGCUUGAGACAGGGGAGGCGCCCAGGCAAACAAAAACCUCACACUCUCCUUUAGAGCAUCAGUGCACACCCAAGAGACUUGGGACUAGUUCCCUCUCUCGCCCUCCUGUAACCCCUACUACAGACCCCACGUGGGCAACAUGAGCAGCUCCUGAUACUGGACGUAGGGCUCUUCCUUGCCCGAACCAGUCUAAACCCCGUGUCUCCCACGCCACCAUCCGAAGCCUUACUCGCAUAAAAGAAAUUUACUAGUCUUAGUCUUGAUCCGCUAAUCUUGACAACGAUAGUAGUCCUAUCAAAUAAAAAAAUAAAUCAUCUAUUUAAUGAACAGCAUAAGAUUCAUUGAAUUCUCGUCGCACUCCUUUGUGAUGUUAAAAUAGUACUUUACGCUCGAUUAUUUUGAACCCGAGUGCAAUCUUUUUCUAUCAGUAAGGAUUGCACGAGAGCACCUUUUACUUCUAAUAGUCCAUGAACUAUAGAUAGAGAAGAAUCAUCUAGAGCGAAUCCAACUUUUUGCCUCCAUUGCAGCAUUUCAAAUAUGGGACCCAACUUUUUGUGCCCCUGUUAGCAAUCUGGGUUACAACAAUUUUUUAUGAUCAUCUAACAUACGCUCAAACUUCUUUGACUCCUUCACAUUCUCGCAGUCUUUAUUUGCAUCUCGCAAUACCUGACUUAGACCUUUUGCCUCGCCCGUCUCUUCUUCAACCUCGCUCAUUGGAGAAUCUCCAAAGGCACAUCCUUGAGUCAAGUUAGAAAUGUUGUCAUAUUGUUCUUCAUCAUCAUCUUCCAUCAUAACUCCUCUUUUCCCUGUGCUUGGUCCAAACAAAAUAGUUAGGCAUAAAUAAAGAACUGGAUAUGUGGGCGUGAAUAGUCUUUCUGGAUAAGUAAUUCUUCUCAUUUUCGCAAUUUUUGCAUGGAAAAUAAAUGAAACCAGACAGCGGCUUGUUGGAUUCUGCCUGAUCAAGAAAACCACACAAGCCAUUAAUGUACUCCAGAAGCGUUUUUCUACGUUGUACAUGCACUGCCGAUUCAUCUACAAAGUAUUACCGAACCACAGAUAUUCUAAUCAUGCAUAUAAUUAUGAAACAUCACAAACAUCAUACAAAUUUCAAAAAACUCAAAUGCUGGGAGCGCGGGGCAUCGGAGAAGGAGGCGGAGGCGCGACGGAGUGGGGACGUGUCGACGUACGGCGCGGCGCCUGGCACUGGUGGUGGGCCAACAGGACCGGGGAUCAUGGGGCGCGCCGCGUAGGGGCUCGCAAUGACGGGGGCGAGGACAGCAUGGAGGGCAGCGACGGCGAAGGAUCCGGCCGGGGGAGGGGAUGGGGCGGCGUGGUGAGGUGUGUUCGCGGGGACGACUGCAUGGCGGCGUGGCAUGGGGACAAUGGCGCAGCGGCGUGGUGACGUGUGGAUCACAACGGGGAUGAGGGUGAUGAGGAGUGGCUAAGUAUCUGGGAGAAUGAAAGAGGAAGACGAUGGGGGUUUUAUAUCCCAUUUUAAUACCGGUGUAGUCUUCACCCGGUACUAAAGGGGGUCUUUAGUACUGGGCCUACCCCCCACCCGGUACGAUAGGGGCCAACUGUGGUUUUCCCCUUGUCGCGAGAGAAAUGAUGAUUACCCGCACCAUCACCACUACCUCCAGCAGCAGUAGCCAUCUUUAUGUACCACAAUUUAUCUAGCUCAUAUUUGCAAAUGACUAAACUAUGAAUAAAUUAUAUUUUCCCCCACAAUUUAUUUAGCUCAAAUAUAACAUAUAAAUGAAAAGUUUCUCCGUUGUAGCUUAUUUUAAAAAUGACUAAUUAUGUAUCUCUAUUUCAUCUUAUUAUCUCUAUGUAUCACAAUUUAUCUCCCUUAUAUUUGCAAAUGACUAAAAUAUCAACAAACUAUAUUUUUUCUCAUAAUUUAUUUAGCUCAUAUUUGUAAAUGACUAAACUAUGAAAUUAUUCCUCUAACCUCAUAUCAAUUUCUUUAACUAAUACGAAACAUAGCAUCCAAAAAAAUGUAGCUUAUUAUAAAAAUCACAAAUAUGAGCUCUAAAUAACACAUGCAUAUAAAUGAAAAAUUUCUCCAUCCAUUGUAUCUUGUUCUAAAAAUCCUAAAUUACUCUAGCUCUAAAGCAUAAAACUUAGUAUACUAACUAUGUAUCAAGGGAGGAUGAAGUUUCUAACCUUUAGAACACUUGAAUGAGUGAAAUUACCACGAAAUGGUUAAAAAUCCGGCAGCACCUCCCCUAUUUCCCCGUCUCUUCUUCAACCUCGCCCAUUGGAGCAUCUCCAAAGGCACCUCCUUGAAUCAAGUCAAGAAUGUUGUCAUCUUGUUCUUCAUCAUCAUCUUCCAUCAUAAAUCCUCUUUCCCUAUGCUUGGUCCAAACAAAAUAGUUAGGCAUGAAUCUAGAACUGUGUAUGUGGGCGUGAAUAGUCUUUCUGGAUAAGUAAUCCUUCUCAUUUUUGCAAUUUUUGCAUGGACAACGAAUGAAACUAGACAACGGCUUGUUGGAUUCUGCUUGAUCGAGAAACCCACGCAAUCCAUUAAUGUACUCCAUGGAGCAUUAGUCUGCAUUGUACAUCUAUUGCCGAUUUAUCUCCAAAGUAUUACUGAACCACAGAUAUUCUAAUCAUGCAUAUAAUUAUGAAGCAUAACAAACAUCAUACAAAUUUCAUAAAACUCAAAUGCCGGGAGCACGGGGCAUCAGAGAAGGAGGCGGAGGCGCGACGGGGUGGGGAUGUGUCGACGUACGGUGUGGCGCCUGACUCCGGUGGUGGACCAGCAGGACCAGGGGUCAUAGGGCACACCACGGAGUCGAGGCACGCGGCGUAGGGGCACGUGAUGGCAGCAUGGAGGGCGGUCGCAGCGGAGAAUCCGGCGAAAGGAGGGGACGGCGAUGGUGCGGUGAGGUGUGUUCGUGGGGAUGACAGCGUGGCAUGGCGAUGACGGCGCGGUGGUGUGGCGGCGUGUGGGUGACGGCGGGGACAAGGGUGACGAGGAGCGGCUAAGUGUAUGGGAGAAUGAUGAAGGAAGAUGAUGGGGUUUUAUCCCCCUUUAAUACCGGGUGUAGCCUUCACCCGAUACUAAAGCGGGCCUUUAGUACCGGACCUAUCCCCCACCCAGUACGAAAGUGGGCCAACUAUGGUUUUCCCCUUGCCGUGAGAGGAACGACAAUUGCCCCCACCAUCGCUACUACCUCCAUCAGCAGUAGCCAUCUCUAUGUACCACAAUUUAUCUAGCUCAUAUUUGCAAAUGACUAAACUAUGAACAAAUUAUAUUUUUCCCCCACAUUAUUUAUUUAGCUCAAACAUAACAUAUAAAUGAAAAGUUUCUCCAUUGUAGAUUAUUCUAAAAAUGACUAAUUAUGUACCUCUAUUUAAUCUUAUUAUCUAUAUGUACCACAAUUUAUCUCGCUCAUAUUUGCAAAUGACUAAAAUCUGAACAAAUUAUAUUUCCCCAUAUUUGUAAAGAAGUAAACUAUAAAAUUAUUUCUCUAACCUCGUAUUAAUUUCUUUGACUAAUACGAAACAUCGCAUCCAAAAAAUGUAGCUUAUUCUAAAAAAUACACAUGGAUACAAAUGAAAAUUUUCUCCAUUGUACCUUAUUCUAAAAAUCACAAAUUACUGUAGCUCUUAAGCAUAAAAUUUAGUAUACUAACCAUGUAUCAAGAGAGGAUGAAGUUUCUAACCUUUAAAACACUUGAAUGAGUGAAAUCACCUCGAAAUGGUCAAAAAUCCGGCAGGACCUCCCCUAUUUCGCCAUGAAUGGAUGGAGCUCUAGCUAGAGAAAAUGGCUCGGGCACAAGGAAGAAGACGUCUGAUUUAUAGGAGGGAAGUUCGUACCAGUUGGGAGCUUCAACCUGUAUUAAAGGUCAAUUAUUAGUACCGGUUGGAGCCUCCACUCGGUACUAAAGGCUCUCAGGCAUAUUAGUACCGGAUGGAGGCUUCAUCCGGUACUAAUGGGUGACCUUCAGUAUUUGUUAGAACUCUCAACCGGUACUAUAGUGGGUCAGGGGGGCUCCUGAUGAACUAGCCAUUAGACCUAGUACUAAUAAUCACAUUAGUACCGGGUCAAAAACUAACCGGUAUAGCUAGGAUCAAUGCUCAGUUUUCCAAUAGUGUCUUCUCCAUCUACCUCAUUUGGGACCUCCUUGGUCGCAUAUACUAUUCCGAUGGCAAGCUCCCAACAGGUGCUGCAGUUGUGGUCAAUGGUGCUACUUUCGUUGGAACGGCUCCGGGGCAUAUCUUCUUUGGUUGGCUUGGUGACAGGUUGGGACGCAAGCGCAUCUACGGCAUCACCCUCAAGCUCAUGGUACUUUCCUCACUCGCCUCGGGCCUCUCCUUCAACCGCAGACCGAAGGAUGUCAUAGCCACACUGUGCUUCUUCGUCCGUUUCUGGCUCGGCAUUGGCAUCGGAGGUGACUACAUGCUCUCUGCAACCAUCAUGUCAGAGUAUGCAAAUAAGAGGACUCGAGGCAGCUUCAUUGCGGCAGUCUUCGCCAUGCAGGUGGUCAUCACAUCAAUUGGCAUAUUUUACUUUUGCAAAACAUCCAUCUGUAAGGGGGGCAGCAGUGCGACCGCCGGGGCUCAUGGAGCUUAGGGCUCAAGACCAUAUAAGUAAUUAGUAUAUAUAAUUUUCUAUUAGUAUAGUAAGUACUAGAAGGCCUAUCACAAAGCAGCCCAUGCCAUAGGUAACUCUCCCUUCCAGUCUUAUUCUACGUAACCUGAUCCAUUGAGCGGAGGGUAGGCCGUAGGCGACGUUUCGUUUGAUCGUUUCUUGCCGCCGCGACCCUGCCUGCACUCUAGCUGAGAAGAGGAGACGCCCGCGCCGAUCCGAUUGGCUCCUCACCCGGCGAGUCGGCGACCAGUAACGACAAGGACACCGAUCUGAUUCGCUCGUCAAGCAACACACCGAUUGAUUAGUAUUUCCAAUUUUUUUUCUUAUUUGUUUUUUUAUGUGCUAUGCUUAUACCGAUUGUGCUAGGGUUAAAAUUUCUAAUUCAAUGUAUUUAUUUGAAUAUGAUAGAUAUUGCCUAAGAAGCAUUUGUCGGGUGCUCAGAAAAGAUAAAAAAGAAAACAAGAAGAUGAGUUCGUAGAAUCGUAGAGAGGUGCUCUACAUAAAUUUUUUCUAGUUUCAAAUAAUGCUGAAGUCAGUCAAGAUCAGGGGCAGGAACAUGUUGCACAAGUUGAUGCCAAUGAAGGUGCUACAGAAGAGCAUAAUGCCAAUGAUCAUACUCAGGAUGUGGGAGAUGACACUGAAACUUUAAAUAUUGAUGAAUAAGAAGAUUUAGUUUUGACUGUUUUUGAUCCUAGAACAUAGGAAAAUCUUAACAAUAGCAAAAAAGAUAUCUUAAUUGAGAAAGGACCUGUGAGAGAAAUGGAUCACAAUUCCCUUGUGAUCGCAGUGGCAGACGUUUUUCUUAUGCUUACUACUCCAGGAAAUUAUCUAAUGGUAAGUUUGUUGAUACGAAGUAGUUGGUUUAUUCUAAACAUAUGGAUAAGGUUUAUUGUUUUUGCUACAAUUUGUUCAAAUCAAAUCAGAACAAGUCAUUAAUCUUGAUACUGUUCUUGAAGAUUUUGCAUCAGGAAAUGCCCGAAGACAGUUUUCUACGAAGCACUGAAGCAUUAUAUUUUUAUUUGAGGUAAUCAUAAUGGUUAUUAUUUUUAGUUUUUUUGACACAAUUGUUAUGUUUUAUGAGCUAUACAUAUAUUGCAAAGUAAUUUUUAUUAUUCGUACUAUAUACUUUAGUUUCGAUACUAAAAAUUAGUUCAAUGGACCCUUAUCUUCUUAGGUGAAGGACCCUUAAAAUUAUAGAGCCGGCCCCGUCACUGGUGAGAUAGAUCACCUGGAAUCGAUGGGCCAGAGUUCAUCCACAGUGUUGUUCUUUAUUGAGCAGUGGCUCUAUAUACUGGUGUUUCUCUUUUUCUUUUGUUUAUCAACAGAGAGCCAACAUAUCACUGCACUAGAACUUAGAAAUAAAUUUGUUGCGGGAAUAAAGGCUCACAUAUUGCUGGCUUUUAUAUGUCGGGAGACAUCUAGUAAUUAAAACUAAUAUGGUGUACUUGUGCAAUUAUUUGAACUUGAGCCUCAGAUAAAAAAAGGAACAGAUGCACAUAUGAAAUACAUAUGUUUAUAAGCAAUGGUUCUGGCUGGCUAUUUCCCAAGCAAAAGAUAACAAUUAAAGAUAGGCCUGUCAACAACUCCGGCAUUGCAAUCCUUGAUGGCGACAAUAAUUUGUAGCUCAUUUUAACAAUAAAAUGAUUAGAGACAAAUCGAAUGGUUAUUGUAAAUAAGUUACAUUUUAUCCUUCUGCCAUUAACAUUGCACAUGUGACCAUAAAUCUGUAAGAAAAUCAUUUACAGCCACGAAACCUACAGCUAGCUUGCAGGAAGCUGGGCAGCAGCGACCAACAAACGACAGCCUGGCUCGAGGUUGAGCAGCAGCUGGAGAACUGGAGCCAGCAGCAGGCAUCCCAUGCACACCUAGCUGCAUCUUUCCCUAAUAAAAAGAUGAAAACGUUUGGAAUCAACGGCCUUCUUGCCAUACUCGUGUCUCGAAGACAUGGUCACUUUAGAAAACUCUGUCAUUUCCCCGGUCAACUCAGCAAAGGAAGUUACCAGAAAAAUGGGCACAUAAUUGUACCUACAACAUGACAUGAGUCCACGCACAUUGUCUAUCAAUUUAUCCAGUAUUAUUUUUGAAGCAUUAAUUCUGCAGCGCUGAAUUGUUUGGCUCAUAAUGUACUUACAUGUGUUGUAGAAUUUUCCAGAAAGUUACUCAAUGGGAGAGGUAAUAUGCUUACCCCACCAAAAACCGCCUCAGUAGGUGGAGAAUCCACAUUCUGAAAAAACCACUACUGCCCACUGUAAAAAGGAAAUCUGUGUAAAAAAUUAUUUGGUCUUCAUAUAUCCAGCUGUAUAUGUAUACAACACUGUCUGCCUAUAAAUAACAUACCAAGGACGGGACCUUCUCCUCAAGAACCAAAACGGUAAUUAGAGGUGGAAUACUGGCCGUGUUUCCUAUCCAACCUCCACGCACCUCCCUUCUGUCUCUUCCAAGAUCUCACUUGUUUCACCAUGAAGCUUCUGCCUCUGUAUCUCCUUGCUAUGCUUAUCCUCAACGCUUCCACGGCGGCACCUCACAUGGCGGCAAGGGAUGAAUUAGUACACGGAGUGAAGGCUGGGACAGAGGACGGGACGUCGGUUGACAACCAUCAUGCCAUACCGAGGCCCGAGUAUGAUAGCUGGAGUAGCCCUGGAAACAUGCCGGGAAGUGGUCAUGACAUUGGGGGUGAAGCAGCUAAGCCAUGAGCAGCAGCUUUCUAUAGAUGCCUUGUACGUAGCAAGCUUUGCAUGCUAGGGUACGUAUAUACAUAAUACAUGCACUAUAUGUGUAUAUGCUUGUGCUAUAUCUUUGGAUGUUAUCACUCCGAUUUCUGUACUUGUGCUGUUUACAUGACGUUCAUACGCAUAAUGUUGGAGUUUCAUAUGUAUACUGAAUAAAUAAAAGAAUGUUUUGUUCCGUUGAUAAUUUUCUUUAUUUUGAAGGUAUAGUAUAUAUGUACAUUUGGUGGAUUUCUAGAUAUGUUGUGUGCCUGACCAACUAGAGUAGAAGAAACUAAUUAAUCUUGGUGGAUUACAGCUAGCAUUACCAGGGUACAUUACAUACGAUAUUUGUAAGAAAGACAUAUAUCUGAUUAUCAAAUAUACCUAAAACACAACUAGCACCCACAAAUAGAUAUAAAUGUCCCUUCUACAAAGCGCAAAGGAGCUUCCUUAACAUCCUGACAAACAGUAAUCAUAUCUGAGGUUCUUUGAUAGCGUGAAUUACCAUGCAUAUCCUGGGAAAUACUUUGUUAAUUUCGAUGAACAGAAUAAUAUGUGCCACCUCGCAC
rnacentral:lncRNA from 1 species